rnacentral:lncRNA from 1 species
GAUUACUAAGUUGUAGUUUGGAUAAAAGAAUUAUAAAUACAAAUAAGAGGUGUGUCAUAUUUCUUUUUUUACUUAAUUAUAAAUAAGACUUAAAACUAAAUAGUACUUAAUAAGGUUAAGUAUUAAGUUAUUUAUUUUUAUUUUUUUAAUAUUUUAUUUAUAUUAAGUAUUAAUAAGGAAAUAAAAACCAACAUGUUAGUUUUUUUAUUUAAAAAGAGUCAAAUAUUUUGAUUUUCUAUUCAACCAAAAAAUCUACCAAAGUCAUGAAAAAACAAAUAAUGUAAAGUUUGAAAACAAAUUAUUUUCAAUAAAAAACUAAAAAAAAAAAAACAAAUACCCUUGCAAUGUGUGUGUUUGAUGGUGUUUUCUACUGGAUUUUUUUUGUUUCACUUUUUAAGUAUUUUUAAGACAAUCGUAUAUCAAGUGGAUUUUUUUAUAAUUUCCAACACUACAAUUUAUUUUUAAAAUUUUAAUAAAAUUUAUCAAAUGCCUAUUUUUUUUAUAAAAAAAAAAACAUUUCUUAAGGCUAAUAUGCUUUUUAAAUUCAUUAUAAAACGGAUUAUUAGUUCAAGAAUAAAAAUAUUUUUAGAAUUUAUUCUCCUUAUAAUGACAUAGUGCAAACAUACUUUAAAUUUAUUUUUAAAAACAUAACAUGUUCAUAGAAUAUUUUUUUUUCAAAAAAUUACUUGAGUUAAAAUUAUCCAACAACUGCUUUUUUUGAACUUUUUUUUUUUUUGGUGUUCUAACAAUAAUUAGACUGUUCUUUCCCUCUUUUGUUCUAACAAUAAUUAUUUUACAAAAUAAUUAGACAAUAAUUAUGACCAAUGACUUUAAAGUUAACGAUUUAGGGACCGUUUGAUUAUAUUUUAUAAAAUUUGCUUUUAAAAUUGUUUUUAAGUUAAAUAACAGUCUAUGGGCCUGUUUGUUUAGUGUUUUCAAGAACUGUUUUCUGUUCUUGAAAACAAAAAACACCAAAAACUCGUUUGGUUGACAGGGUCGUUUUUGUUUUUGUUGUUUCCCGUGUUUUCAAAAUGACACUGUUUAGAGAACAACAAAAUGUUGUUUUCCUCGUUUUUUUACUGUUUACAGAACAAAAUUAAACAAAAAAAAACAACUUGUUCUCCGUGUUUUUUUUUUCUUCCCGUUCUCAUCUCUUCUCCAGCACAGUCUCAGUCUUGAUUCAAGGUUCGUGAAAUUUAAAUCCAAUGGCACAAUAGCAAAGAGACCCCUAAAACGGAUCCAGAAAACACAGGGAGCAAAAGAACCAUUUUUUUGGUUUUCCUUGGGGUUUUUGCUUGGAUUUUCUUGGAAAUCAAACGAGGAUGAAAUUUCCCGGAAAUCGAAUGGGGGAUGGAUUUUCUUGGUAAUCAAACGGGGGUUGCAAAAAAAAUAAUAAUAAUAAUAACAUGAUUAGAUUAGUACCUGCGAGGAUUGAGUGGCAGAGGAAAAUAGGACCUUUUAGGGAUUCUCUUGGCUGGAGGGCAACUUCAGAAAAGGGCUUCUUGAUGCCCGAUGGAGGGCAACUUCAGAAAAGGGCUUUUUGAUGCCCGAGAGAGAGAGAGAAGUGGGUGGCAUUUUGGAUUUAGUAGAGAUAAAAAAAAAAAAUUAAUAAAUCACGAGCACAAUUUUAUCUCAAUUUAAUAGAAUAUGUUAUACCUUUUUAAGAUUAAAUAAAAAAAUAUUAAUAAAAAUAAUUUUAUUAUGUUUGAUUUAUUUUAAAAAUAUAUAAAAAAUAUUUUUAUUUUUAAAUUAAUAAAAUAAAUAAUUUUUUUAAUUUAAAUGAACUAUAUAUCUAAAAAUUAUUUAUAAAUUUAUAAUGUAAAAUUACUUGAAGAAAAUAUUUUAUUAAUUAGAAAAGAAAAAAAAAAAACAUAUUUCAAACGUGUUUUUUAUUUUAUUUGUUUAAAUUUUUUUUUUAUUAACUCAACCAAACAUGUUUUUUUGUUUUUGAGAACAAAAACUGUUUUUUAAAAUUCAGUUCCCAAACACAAUUUUUUUUUAAAAAACAUCAAAAACUGUUUUUAAAAACUGUUUUCCAGAACAGUUUUCAAAAACAGCAACCAAACAGGCCCUAUACUUUCAUUUUAUUUUUAAAAGUUGAUAAAAAACCUCCUACUUGUUUUAAAAAAUGAUUAUCUAUUUAGCUUUAUUUUUAAAAAUUAUUACUGAGAACAACAAUUAAAUAGUAUUAACAAAAAUUUAAAAUAUUUUUUUAUUUUUAAAAAUGAAAAAAUGUUUUUACACCAUGCGAACCAAACAAACUCUUAUAUUUUAUAAAACUUGAAUUUCAAUUUUAAUAUUAACAUUUUAUAAUAUUGACAAGGGAAUUUUCAUCAAUGUAAUGAUUAGUUGAAAUAAAUAAUUAAAAUUUUGUUUGAUAAUGAUUAUAAAAAUUAUUUUUAAUAUUUGAAAAUUAACUCUUUUAAUAAAAAUCUUCGGUCACAAGUGUUUUAAAAUUCACUAUCAAGAUGGAUGAUGCUAAUUUAAUUUGAUUUCGUGGGCAAUAAAUCUAGUUUAGAUAUUGGAAAUUAUAAAAAAAAUAUAAGAAAGAAAAAUAAAAGAAAAAAGAAAAAAUUAAAUUAAAUUUAAUAAAUUAUUUUUAUUAACAUAAUUUGAAAAUAUAUAAAUUUUAAUCAAUUAUAUUUAUUUUCGAGUUUUUGUCAUAUUUUUUUAUAAUAAAUAUUUUCCUUAAUCACUUUUUCCUUUUAAAAGUAAUUUCCUAAAAUUAAGCAUAGUCUAAAGUAUAAAAUGAUUGAGGUUCCAUUGAUGAACCCAUUUUUUUCAAAAAUAUUAAUUAAUUUAAAUGAUUAACUUUAAUUAUGCUAAUUAUAUUCCAUUUGAAUUCAACUCAACGGAAAAAUAUAUGAAUAAUUAAAAUGAUUUAAUAAAUUAAAUUUGAAAAGGACCUGUGACUUGUGCCCAAAGUAGCCGCGCAACCUCCAGCGAAUCAAAGAGAGCCGCGGUUCAAGAAAAUUGGGCGGUUCGAACCGACCGGAUAAGAGCAGUCUGUUACUGUUAGGGUAGUUUCGAAGGACUAUAUAAUGACUGCCGCACCCACAUAACCGGUUUAGGGCUUAAACGAAGAAACGAAGCCAGAGAAGAGGGCUCUUCCUUCGUGGAGCAUCAAUCUUAUCCUUACAGAAAAAUAUCCAAUCGGAGAAGGUACGGGAAAUCCAUACCCUAGUUUUUUUAAUGGAACCCUUGGUUUUUUUGAUUUUUUUUUUUUUUUUUAAAGUUUAAAAUGAACCCUAGUUUGUUGUUGUUAUUAUUAUUAUUUUUUUUUAUUUUUAAAUUUUUGUGAAGUGUAGUUCUGUAGCGUUCGGUUCUGAUAGUAAAACCCUAGUUUUUGGUUGAAUAUUUUUUUUUUCUUUUUUUUGAUACUUCAUUCGGUUGAUUUGGGUGUUUUGGUUGAUUUUAAAAAUGUUUUGCGGGGGAAGAAGAUGGAUCGGUACCAGAGGGUGGAGAAGCCGAGAGAGGAGACGCCAAUAGACGAGAAUGAGAUACGGAUUACAAGCCAGGGAAGGAUGCGCAGCUAUAUCACAUAUGCUAUGAGUCUACUUCAGGUAUUUCUCUAUUCGUUCCCCGAGAAAAUUGAGGAAAAGGAAAGAAAAUGAACUAUUGAAUUUGUCGUGCUUUCUAAGAAUUUGAACAACAAUAGUUCUGUUAAAGAGCUUUUUAAUAGAUUUCUCUUUGUCUAUCAAAGUGUAUAUAUAUAGAUAAAAGAAAGAAAGAAAGAAAGUUGAGGUACGAUUUAUUGAGUGAAAGUACGUCUCUUUGCCUUGUUUUCCUUUUCUAUGUGCUCAGCAAUUAAGCAGGGCGUUUAUUUAGGUUAGCUAAUAUCUGAUGAAUGCCAUUGUAUCUCUAUUUUUUUCCGUUUUUGGUUAUCUAUUAAUAUGAUCCUGUUUGGUGCUUCUGACUUCUAAGAUUUAGUAUUUCAUGUUGGAAUUGAAUGUGAAAAUGAUGUGAAGGAAUCAUUUUUUAACAGAAAAACUGAGGAAUAGAAGAGAAAAUUUGAAAGCUCAUCAUUUCUCUGGUUCUCCUUUUUUUAAAAGAAGUAAAAAUUAUCCCGAGCUAAGCCUUGGACCCUGUUGGUUGGUGAUCUGAUAUAUGGAAAUUUGGGGUUAAAACCUUCAUAUUUUUUAGUUUGUGGGAGUCUGUUUACCUAGAAAUAAACAUCAUGAUACCUGAUUUCUUUGUGUGUAAUGUUCAAUAGAAGCCCAUUUUGGGGCUAGUUAAUUAGCCAUUGAGUAUGGAUGUGUAGAACAAUGUCCAUGCAGUGGAUCUGUGUUAAUUACUUAGAAAUGUAUGUGUUUUUAUCUUUUAUUUUUUGGGUUGUUCAAUCUAUGGAUAAUUACUAACUUCUAUCUUCUAUGUUUAGAUACAUUUUAAAUUUAAAUGUGGGAGUUUUGGUCAACCUACAAUGCAACUACUUUUAACUGUUAGAGGCGACUUAGCAAGUGUCUAGAAAGCAAGGUGAGCACCUACUUAAAGCUUUCCUAUAUGUGGAAACUGGAAAGACAGGUGCUCAUCCUCUAAGUACUGGUUUCAGAUUUGCCUCAUAUCUCAAAUUUAUCUAUUUGUUAUUUAUUUUUAGUUUCAAAAUUCUGGCUUGGAAUGUAGAUCACUUGGAAUACUUUUUGUAACUCUUAGAAGUGGUGUUUUUUAUUUUCUUUUGGUAGGGUGGAUCAUCUGUUUCCCUUACUUUUUUGAUAUAAUUCUUAUAGGAAAAAGGGUCAAAUGAAAUUGUGUUUAAGGCGAUGGGUAGAGCAAUCAACAAGACAGUAACAAUUGUGGAGUUAAUCAAGGUUUCCCUCUUCUCUACAUUUCAUUACAUUACAUAUUGGAUGUAUCAGUGGUUUGGUUAUGCUGAAGACAUGCCUGAUGUUCUUGUAAUACAGAGAAGGAUCGUUGGUCUCCAUCAGAAUACCUCGAUUGGAUCCACUGAUAUAACUGAUACAUGGGAACCCUUAGAGGAAGGCCUUCUUCCGUAAGAGCACUUCAAUAUAUCUUUUGAAAAAUAACAUGGUGCAUUUGCAAUAUUUUAUAUGGGUGCUGGUCUUUUGCCUUAUGCAUGCAUAGCUUCUUGUGAAAAUUUCGAAAUUUUUCUAUGAUUCUUAUGAUAAUCUGCUUUUAUUUUUUAUUUUUUUAAUGAAGGCUGGAAACCACAAGACAUGUGUCAAUGAUCACAAUAACCCUUUCAAAGAAGGAGCUGAAUACUUCCUCCAUUGGGUGAGUUGGUACCAGAUGUUUCUCUUGCUGUUAUAACAAUAUUUUUACACCUUUUAUGGUGCUUUAUUUUCUAUAGGGCUUUGUAAUGACAUACUGGCAAGUUGGAAAUUAGAACUGUCUUAUGAAAUUUCUUCUAAGUGUUUGUUGUGGUAUUGCUGCUUAAGCACUGGUGUCAGCUCAAGUGAAUUUUAGUUUUUCAUGAGCAUAGCUCAUGAAGUAUAUAUCUCUCAUUUGAUGUUGUGCUUGAUGUGUUUUCUUGCAUCUUUUGCCUUGAAUGAUAAAUUUAGUACUUUGCAGUUUUCAGAAGUAUUUCUUUCUUGCUAGAGGAUUGAAUGAUAUGGGAAAACAUCCAUGACUCUUCAGUGCUUAAAGCUUUGCAUUUACUAAUCUUUUGACAUUUUGUCUCAUUCAAGUGUGUUUAAUUUGUUUUAUGUAAAUUGAACUGUUGAUGCUGGCACAAAAUCUUAUUUGUUUAGUAAUUAGUAGUAGCUAUCCUGUAAAAAAGGUUAGCUUUGUUGGUCUAUUAACAACUGAUAGGCACAAUAUUAGAAUGUUGCACUGGUGCUAACUCUCUACCCUCAAAUAUUUCUAGUGCUGCCAGCCUAACAACACCCUCAUCACCACACUACCUCUAAUGGGUCGUAUGCCCCUUUCUUUGAGUAUGGUAGCACUAUUUGUACUGUCUGCCCACCAUUUUUUUUCCUUAGAAUCAUUUCCCUCCAUUCUUCUUUGCCCUCCUAAUACUGUUAACUUGUACCACUAUCCUGGUCAUUGUUGCUGUCUUAUGGCCACCAUACUGUCUCAUUGUGUUCAUGGGUAAUGAGUUACUACUCCAUUUUAUAUAUGUCAGACUGUCAGUGGGGCUAUAAGUUCCUUUUUUCUGGUCUCAUCGAUGAAAAAGAAAGAAAGAUAUGGUGUAUAUGGAGAAAGAUACCAAGGCCCUCUCAGCUUUUGGAUUAACAAAUGCACUUUUAAAAAUGGAUUUCAUUUACAAAAUAGACAUGGAGAAAAGAUAAAGAUAUUUUCUUUUGUAGCCUUUGAGGCCUAGCUCAAGUGGUACAGGGAUGGGGAGAGUUUGUGAGGUUCGAGGUUCAAGCCCCAAUGGGGAGAUAAAUUUACCUAUAUAUAAAAAAAAAGAUAUUUUCUUUUGUAGCUGGAAUGUUAGUUUAAAAAAGAAAGACUGUCCAUUUCUUUCUUUGGAAAGUUAGGCUUUCCUCCUUUUUUUUGGCUUUUUAUUUGUUAGAAUGUUUUUUUUUUUAACCCAAUGGAAUGAGAAUCUAGAAACCUUAAAUUGGGCCGGAAAUGGUCCUGAAAUAAGUUGGGAUGGAUUAGAAAUUUUUUAAAGGAAUUUGAUGGGUUUAUGCAUUCUCAAAGAUAAUUUGUUUGUGUUAAUUAUUAUAGUAGUUGUGAAUUCUUUUUUAUUUAUUGUAACUCCAUGACUUCAGCUGGUGUUAUUUCCCCAUUAAUGACAUUACCCCGCCUGUUUCUGAAUUGCUAGAGAUUUUAUGAUUGCUCAUGCAUUGCUACUUCCUGCAGGUACCAGCCCCCAUUACCAGCUGAGCAGGUGAAGGCAUGGACAGAAUUUGACUAUGAAGGAGGUUGUGCAAUGGUUUCAUGCUCCGUGAUCUUGUUUUUCUCAAUUUAUCCCUGUUUUAACAUUUUCUCUUGUUGUAGAGGGUUCACCUAGUGGUCGAGGUAGAGGCCGUGGUGGUAGAGGGAGGGGAAGGACUAGAGGUGUAUCUGGUAUGAUAUCUAAUUGCAUGCCUUCACUUUCAAAAUUGAUUGGUGACUCACUAUGCAUGAGAACCUAGUCCACUGCAUGCUUUUCUUUCAACACAUCACAGAGGCUCCUUCUUUCUCUUGCUAUGAGUUGGCCCUUCUAUUGAGCACUAUUGUUACCACAGUUUGUUAUCAUUCUCUUCUUUUCUCAUGCUGGGACCACAGGCCCAUCACACAUUUCUAGUUGAACUUCAAAGAUAUUGCCAAUUGGGUGUAAUAGGUGACACUGAUCAACAAAAUAGUUGAAGAGACAUUAUGAUUUUCUCAAUGAAUUUUGAACUGAAAAUUUGAGGGUUGGAGUUAGUACCUAUUGCUUCCAUAAGACAACUUUGUGUGUACAUAAAAAUGUGGUUUAAAUAGCAUUUUAGAAAGCUUGCAAAUAUCAUGGGUACUUUAAGUAACAGAGCUUUUAGUAAUGGCAGAAACUGAGUUGACUGGGACUUUAAAUGAUAACAAGAGAUUGUUAAAUUAAUGAGCUAUUGGUUCUGAACAUGGUAGCAUACGAUAAUAUUUUAUGAAAAGGCAGUCACAUUUUAUUUCAGGGAAUGGUUUUGUGUCUGCCGAGUAUGAGGAUGGUGGUUGGGAUCGGAAUCGUGGAUAUGCUAGGGGGAGGGGUCGAGGCAGAGGUCGUGGUUUCCGUGGCCGUGGAAGAGGUGGGUAUAACGGCCCUCAGGUUGAUGCUCAGCAGGAUAUGGGAGGCUACAAUCAAGAGCCUCCAUUUCAAGGCCGCGGUAAUGUUUCAUUUAAUUGCUUCAUAUAUUCAUCAGACUUUUUUUUUAAUAGAGUCGCAUUACUUUGUUGUUCCAUUUAGUUGCUUUAUAUAUAUUUUCAUCAGAAACAACUACAAUACAGUUUCAUUGGUUUGGGCAGAGUGGACCAUGUAUUCUUGGUUUUAUGCUGGGAAUGGGUGUUUGAUGGGGUUCCCUUUCUUUUGCCAUUUGUUGACUCCUUGGGCCCAACCUGAUGGAGUGCCUAAUAUCAGUAGAAAUGAAAAAAUUAUAAAAAUAAAAUAAAAAAUAAAAAGGAACACGAAAAUCAUAUCUGAUGUGACAGCAUAUACGACCAAAUCUUUUGAAGGAAAUAGGUGCAAUAGAGAACUUAUAUAUAGAUGCUAUUGUAUGUUAUAAAAAAUGGUGCUGUUAAGAGGAUAGUACCGAGUUUUAGUGAAGAAGUAAUGGCCUUUGAGACUUCCUCCCCGUACAAGACUAAGAGAUUGGUAUGUUUUACGGUCAGGUCUCUUAGAGUAAGAGGUUUGCCUUCAUCCUGGUACUAAUCUGUCUGUGGCAUUGUAGGUCGUGGUCGUGGGAGGGGAAAUCGUGGAAGGGGUCGUGGUGCUAGAUCUAAUGGGCCGAUCCAUGCAACUGCCGGAGGCGCUUAACAGUCUCCCUUGAACACAAUUCCGAGUUUCGCUUUUAUGAAGUGUUGGAUGCCUGCUCCAUUUCUAUGUUUAUCAUCUAUGUUUCUCUACUAAUAUUAAUUGUAGGACAUAUCUAUGUGUAACCAUUAUAGGCUAAUAUUAGAAGUUUGAGACUGCAGCCAGUUGUGGCAAUCUUUUUCAUUUGUUGUUCCUUUUUUUUAAGUCUUCUACAUGGUUGUAGAAGUAGGUGAGAUGCUUGACUAAUUGUAACUUCUAUUGUUGAUUGAGCAGCACAUUCUUUUAUUUAUCUCUUUGAGAGAGUUUUUGGUUUCGAAUGAUUUUACCAAGUUGAGCAUUAAAAGUUAACAUGCAUGUUAAUGUGUGGCCUAUUUUGACCGCGGGCAAGACUCAGUUCGGUUUAGUAGAGGUGUUAUGAAUUAUGCAGUCUGUUGUUGAAUAGGUUGGAAUUCAGACUUAUCUGAUAUAUGUAUCAAUAUGCUUGCAGGAGGCUUUACUGUUGUCUAUUGUAAUGCAAAAGCCAUGGAUAUGUUAGGUCAAAUCUUCCAAUUUGGCGAAGUAAAUACAAGGGCCAGUUUGAUUGCGAGUUGCUUUCAGCGAGGCUUUUAUUUUCUAUAAUGAAAACAAUGAAUAUGUGUAAAUUGUAAAAAUGUUUGCAUUCUAGAACCCACAAAUCAGUGUUUUUUUUUUUUUUUGGAAAUUGUUCUAUUUGUAGGAAUUGGUUUCUGAGAAGGCCUUUUUUGUUUGUCAAAUACUUUUGUUUAAACAUUUUUUCUAUUGUGUAAAUGGAGAACAAUUUUUUAUUAAUCUGCCAAACAGGUCUUCAGGAAUUCUAGAAAUAGGGCUGCUGCUGUUGUCAUCAUUGUCAAUUCUAUUGGUUGAUUUCUCUUGGAUCCCUUGGUGACUGACUACCUACUACUUUUUGUAUAAAGGGAGAAUUACCCUUAAGGGUAGGCUGGGGGAAAAAAUGACCAAUGAGGGUGGGUAAAUUUGAUAAUUAUUGUAAAGAGUAGGGUAAAAUUAUGAUAAUUCUUCCAAAUGCCUUAUUUUGUUUAAAUGUCAAUACUACCCUUAAUAAGUGAAAAGCAAGUAAAGUGAAAAGCAAUAGAAAAUAAAAAAGAGUUUAUUCUCCCUUUCUUUAACCUAUCUAGAGCCGAGUUGUAGAAGAAAAAGGGGAAAGGAAAAAGGCGCGCACUUCAGGUCAUUCUCUACAACCGAUACACAAAACUUGUUUUUUUUUUGUGAAUCUAACAAGAAAUCCAUUAAAGGUCAGUUUUUUUUUUUUUAAUACAAAAAAAAACUGUCAGUUUAUGGAAAAAUAAAUAAAUAAUUUAAAAAUCGGAUUGAAUGAAGGAAAAGUUAAUAAUUUUAAUAAUGUAGUUGUAAGAUAUUAGAUCUGAAAUAUUGAAUGAGGUUUUGAGAAAGAAAUUACAUUUUUUUUAAAUGUUAUUUAAAUUUAUUAUUUUGAAUUUUUUUAUAUUAUUUAGGUCAUAUUGAAGAUGUGUUUUUAUUUUUAAUUUAUUUUCUGGGUGGAUUGUUUAAUAUGAUUAUUAUUGAUUUCCAUUGAAAAGGUUUGCACUUUAGUUUUGUUGUUAAGACUUUUUGACAUAAUUGAAGAAAAAAUGUUCUCAGUUGUUUCAUGCUUGUUUGGGACCACUUUGUUUGUGUAUUUAUAAACAUAUUUGGAUUGUCAUUGAAAACUGAAAUCCCCUUUGUACGAGACCACUUUGUCUUUUAUUAUGAAUUUGUUAAAGAGUUAAGAUCACUAUAUUUUUGUUAUAAAUUUGUUACCUUUUUGUAUAAGUAUUAUUUUGGUAUGAUGAGUCGAAUGCUUAGUAGUUUGAAGGUUGUGUAAAAGAACCAUUAUUUCAGUUAUAAAGUAUAAGUAUAAUACAAAUAUAAUAUAGUUACAAUGAAAAAAUAUUAACAUUAUGAUACAUUACAAUAUACCAAAAUGACAAAAUAUUGAAUUAUUUUUUACUGAAUUGGCAUUUCUAGGCUAUCAUGUUGUAUUCCUAUCAUAAAGCAUCCUUGCAAGCCAAAAUUAUAAAAAAAAAACAACAAAAAUACACUAUUGUAAUUUCAAUACAUGAAGUUGUUGAUGAUAAUCCAAUGAUGGAUAAAAAAAAAUCUAUAAAAUUAAUUUUUUUAUAUAAAAAUAUAGAGGUAUAAUAAAAAUACAGUACAAUUACAAUACAAAUACAAUAACAUUACGAUAUAUUACGAUAAGGUAAAAUUUUGAAAAUGUCAAAUUUAUUAUGAAAUUGGGCAAUUAUGGGUUCUUUGGUAUAUCCCUAACAUGUAUAAUAUACAACAAAUAUUGUUAUUUAUUAUAUAAAAUAUGGCUCAAUUGAUUAUAAUUUUCAUUUGUUUAUUUUGUAUUCGUUGUAAAAUUUUCAUUGAUUGUAAUAUUGUGAAAUAGUUGUUGAUAAUAAUCCAAUGAUGGAUAAAAAAAAUCUAUAAAAUUAAUUUUUUUUAUAUAAAAAUAUAGAGGUAUAAUAAAAAUACAGUACAAUUACAAUACAAAUACAAUAACAUUGCGACACAUUACGAUAAGGUAAAAUUUUGAAAAUGUCAAAUUUCUUAUGAAACUGGGCAAUUAUGGGUUCUUUGACAUAUCCCUAACAUGUAUAAUAUACAACAAAUAUUGUUAUUUAUUAUAUAAAAUAUGUCUUUCAAUUGAUUAUAAUUUUCAUUUGUUUAUUUUGUAUUCGUUGUAAAAUUUUCAUCGAUUGUAAUAUUGUGAAAUAGUUGUUGAUGAUAAUCCAAUGAUGGAUAAAAAAAAAUCUAUAAAAUUAAUUUUUUUUAUAUAAAAAUAUAGAGGUAUAAUAAAAAUACAUUACAAUUACAAUAACAUUACGAUAAGGUAAAAUUUUGAAAAUGUCAAAUUUCUUAUGAAACUGGGCAAUUAUGGGUUCUUUGGCAUAUCCCUAACCUGUACUUUAUGACCUUGUCUUGUACAAAAGAGUAUAUAAUAUAAUAUUAAGAAAAAUUCAUGAUCAUAAAAAAAAAUAUAUAUAUAUAUUUUUUUCACCACAAUAUAAUACAUUUGCAAUUGCACGAGAAAUUCCACGGUUACUCCAUAAUUGCAUAAACUUCAUUACAAAUAUGUCACAAUCCGUUCUGCAAAUAGUAAUUAAGGAAAUUAUAAGUCAAUUGGGUAUCAAAUUAGUAAAUUUAUAACCUGAUUUGCUUUCCAUAGGGUAUCAAAUUAGUCAAUUGGGUAUCAAAUUAGUGGAAUAAAAAUCUUCCAUUUCAAUUUGUCUCCAAAAAUAUAUCACCCCUCACACAAGCAAAAUCAAAUCAACCUUUUCAAUUGACCAUACUGCUUCCACCAACCAAGUCAGCCCAAAAAAAGAGAAAAAAAGCCAACCCAAAAAAAAGAAAAUCAAAUCAUACUUUUCAAUUUACUGUAAAUGCAAUUUUAUAUUAUAAUGUGUCACCAAAGGUUCAAAGACAAGGGUUCUGACAGGGGUGGUUUUGGAGGUGGAGGCGGAGGUGAUUCAGACAGGGGUGGUUUUGGAGGUAGGGGCCAUGGAAGGAGGGAUCAAAGUGGUGGUUGGAACAACAGAAACAAUUCUGGUGAGAAUAAUAAGUCCUUUGAAUGGAACAAAGAGUCAAACAAUAAUGGGGAAGGGUGGAAAGGUCAUGAUGGUGCUGUCAGUUAGACUCGCUUUUUAUUUAUGAAAAAUUAAUUUUAGAAAAGUUGGAGUCGCCACCUAUUUUAUUUUUAUUUUAAAGGGAAAAUAAAACAAGAAAGAAAAACCCUAAAAAGUGACUCCAUAGUUUUGGAAAAAGCAUGUCUUUGAGAAACCCGAGUCUAAGUCCGGGGAUCAGGUUACCUAUUGGGAAGGUACCUUUAAAAGGUAGCACCCCUCUAAGCCCUAUAGAGAUCUCUACUAACUAAGUUGAGAGAAAUGUGGCAAUUAAUCGAUUAAUUAGAGAUACCUAAGUAAGCUUGGUGAUUUUAAAGCCAAGGAGGUGGUGAUAAGGAGCCAAGGAAUUGGAAUUCUGGGACUGACAGAACUAGCAAUCAAUUGAGGGUAAAUUAGUCUAAUAAAAAUAUAAGGCUUUCAAAAGAAUUAUCAAAUUUACCCACCCUUUUCAAUCAUUAUUUCCCCCAGCUUACCUUUAAAGGGUAAUUCUCCCUUGUAUAAAUAUCCUCUUGUAGAGCCGUGCAGAACCACACAGGCUUCUUAGUGCCAUCACUUGCCCUCCAUCGACUCUCUCUCGACAUUUUCUUCUCCCUCAAAGUUCUACAGGUACUACAAUGGAAAUGAAUGAAGAUAUUAUCAUUGUGGGUGCUGGAAUAGGGGGCCUGACCACAUGUUUAGGACUUCACAGGUACAACAACAGUCUCAUCUCUGUGGUGCUUACCAUGAUAUUUCUAAAUGGGUCGUCAGUUCAUGAUUAGAAACGGUGGUUUCUUUGGCUGGAAAUUAUUAAUUAAAACUCAUAAUUUUGCAGGUUGGGGUUGCGGAGCUUGGUUUUGGAAUCAUCAGACAGCUUGAGAGUUACAGGAUUUGCACUCACAACAUGGAAGAAUGCUUGGAGGGCAUUGGAUGCUGUAGGCGUCGGUGAUUCCAUCAGACAACAGCAUAUGCAAAUUCAGGGGUACUGACUUUGCCACCCUUUUCUUCAGCCAUGAAGAAAAUCUACUUAUAUAUCUAAUUUCUUCCUUUAUCUAAUUUAUGUUUCAAAGUUUUGUUUUUUCAAUAUAUAUUUUUUUCAUUUAUGGGUGUGUGUUAAUUAGAAUACAGCACUAGUAGUAACUGCUCACUUGGUGCUGCAGGCUCCAGGUUUUUUCUACAAUUUCUGGACAGCCUACUUCAGAGAUCUCAUUCGGAGGCAAAUGGUGAGUAAAUUUAGUAAAUACUUAAGUGCUUGUUUGACCAUUAUUUUUUAAAAAUAAAUAUUGGUCGUAGUUAGAAGUUGAAUUUGAACAGUUUAGCAGGGUGUGAUAGGAUUUGCGAGAAUCACCUAAUUCUAAGUUGGAGUUUCAUUUCAUCUUUAAUUGCAACUCCUCUUCUGGUUUUUCAAUUCUAGUAAGAUAGAUUUGGUUGAGACUGUUGAGUCCAUCAUCAUCAACAAUUGCCAGCAGUCACUGUCGGCUCCCACUAGUCACGGCCUACCAUUGUUUACCUUUUAUUUAUUUAUUUUUUUAUGUUGAUAUUUUGGACAGAGGUACUGAAUUAUUGAUGGGAAAGUUAGGUUUUAGGACGAUGAUGUGAAAAGUAUAUGAUUUUGAUAACCUAAGUAUAUAAAAUAUGAGAUACAAUUAUUAAUAGAUAAAAUAAUAUCUAAAACAUGCACUAUCUCUUGUUUACUUUUCUUCUUCCCAUAUUACCCCUAAAUUUCUCUAUGUCAUCAGAAAAUUGUUCUGCUGACUCCCAUUAUUGAUUGUCCAAACCUAGUGCAGUCUUAUUUGACCUUUUAUAUUGGAUAUGGUAUAUCUCUGUGUUCCAAACCAGCCACAAAAAUAAGUAUUCCGUUACCUGCCUUGAAUCUUUGCACCAACAUAAAAUUGUGCCUUGAAAUUAUCUUAAGAGUUGGGACAUGAUGCAGGGGAAUCCAUGAAAUUCGCUGUGUAAGAAGGAAGGUGCUACUUGAAACCCUCGAGAGGGAGUUGCCUCGUGGCAGUAUCAGGUAUUCCUCCAAGGUGGUUUCCAUCCAGGAAUCAGGACACUACAAAACCGUGCACCUUGCAGAUGGCUCCGUCCUGAAAACUAAGGUGAACUCAUCCUGGACUGCGCAUGAAAUUAGAACCAAUGAAAGGGGUUUUUAGUAGCAUGUGGUUUACUAUCAUAUAAAUUACCUUGAUAGUGUUUCUUGAAGGUCAAAAACAGUGCUUGAAGGUUGGUUAAUCACAGUUUUUAAUUGUGUGGGUGUUUGGUAAAAUUUAUUAAUAAAUUGACUAAAGUGUAUUUUAAGUUAAAUUAUUCUUAAAUUAUUAAUUUAAAGUUUAUUAUUUAUUUUUUAUUUUAAGUAUUAAGAUGGUUUGGUAAAAUUAAUUUAAAAUUUAUUUUAAGUUAUUAAAUUAUUGUAUUUGCCUUCAUUAAUUAUAAUUAAUGUUUAUUAUCAUUAAUUUUAAUUAAUAUUGAUUUUCAUUAAUUUUAAAUACUAUUUUUUAAUUAAAUAUUCAUAUUUAAAGUAUUGUAAAUAUAUAAGAUAACUUUAAAAUAUUUAUUAUAAAGAAUAAGUUAUGGAUGUUAAAUAUAUUCUCAUGUAGAUAAAUAAAACAAUAAAUAUUUAAAAUUUAGAAUAAAUUAAUCAUUUUAAUUUAAUAUUUAAAAUUAUUUUUAAUUUUAAAUUAUGAUAUUAAAUUAUUUUAUCAAAUAUGUUUAAUUUAUUUAAUAACUUAAGUUAUUAAAUUACUUUGAGUCAUUAAAAAUGAUUUAUCAAACACUCGUGUAGAGAAUAAAACUUUCCGACUUCAAGUGGUGGUUGAAAGUUAAAUAACUUAAAUCUAACUUUUAAACGGCAACUUUUUAAAAGUUGUAUUUGCUUAUUUUUAAAAUAUAGUGCCCAAAGCACAAUUGAAGUAGAGCCUAAGCUAAAAGCAAAAUUGAAAGCUAUCCAUACGGACUACAGAGCUCUAGUAAUCCUACUUUGUUUUUGAAUUUUAAGGUGUUAAUCGGCUGCGAUGGAGUUAAUUCACUUGUAGCGAAUUGGCUGGGUCUUGACAAACCGGUUGAUUCCGGGCGUUCAGCCGUUAGAGGCCUUGUGGAGUUCCCAGAUGGUCAUGGAUUGGAGCCCAAAUUCCGUCAACACUUUGGAAAUGGCGUUCGCCAUGGGGUUAUACCGUGUGGCCCCACUACCUUGUAUUGGUUUCUCACUUUUGCUCCAUCUGUCCACGGUAAGCCAGUCCAUCCAUGGAACUACUUUUUUUAAGUCUUAGCCGCCACCCUAAACUCAUAAAUAUUCAGUUCUGAUUUCGUCCUCUUUUUACUCCGUGUGUGGUUGUAUACGAGCAUGCAGGCGUAGACACUGAGGAAAUGGAUCAGAACCCAGCUAAGAUGAAGGAUUUUGUAUUAAGUAAGCUUGGGAAAGUGCCCCAACAUAUAGAAAAUGUGUUUGAGAAAACUGCAUUGGACUGUAUGUCCUGCUCUCCAUUAAAGUUUAGGCUACCAUGGAAAGUAGCAACAGGCCAUAUCUACAAGGGCAAUGUUUGUGUAGCAGGCGACGCGCUUCAUCCGAUGACACCUGAUAUCGGACAAGGGGGAUGCUCUGCGAUGGAAGAUGGCGUUGUUCUGGCGAGGUGCCUUGGAGAAGUCUUACUGAGAAAACCCACCAGGGAAGAUGGAGAAGGAAAAGAUGAGGAAUGUUACAAGAGGAUCAGCGAGGGAUUGGAGAAGUAUGCAAAAGAGAGGAGAUGGAGAAGUUUCAAGCUGAUCACUACUGCAUAUGUGGUGGGUCUCAUACAGGAGAGUGACUGGAAAGUGGUGAGAUUCUUGAGAGAAAAGUUUCUGUCGGGAUUCUUGGCUAACCUCUUCUUGAGGAUGGGUGAUUUUGAUUGCGGGCAACUCAGCAUUUCUUAAUGUUUGCUUUGGUGUACUGUAUAAAAACUAGUCAGCUAUUCAUCCAUGUUGGUCCAAUCAGCAAUAAAAGAUUACAGAAACCAUAUAGGCAUAUGUACGUGGAAAUGGGAAAUGGGAAUGAAUGUUUUGUUUCCAUUCCCAUUCCUCCUUAAAUAAGAAUGGAUUGGAAGGAAUAAGAAUGGAUUUUGAGGAUUCCAAAUCUUCAUUGAAUAAGAAUGAAUUUAAUUUUCCAAUUCUUGCAUUUGGAUGUAUUUAGGAAUUUAAGGUUGGAGUAAUUAUUGUUUUUUUUUUAUUUUAAUGUUAAAAUAUUUAUUUCCAUUUUUAAAAAACCUUUCACAUUUUGUAUAGUUUUUAAAAUAAUUUCAAUUCUUGUAUUUGAACGUAUUUAGGAGUGUUAGAAAAAUUAGGUUAAUCCAAUCUAUGGUAAUCACCCUAGAAGGGAGGGGGGUGGAGGUGAAAAAGGUAAUGGUUUUUUUUUUUUUUUUUUUUGCAAAUUUAAAUUAAGUGAAUGUAAGAGACAAAUAUAUACAGGUAUAUAAUAAAACAAUAUAAAAACAAUUUGCAUAUAAAAUAAAAGAGUAGGGAAGAGAGAAUACAAACACAAGAUUUUAUAGUGGUUCGACGUAACCUGACCUACAUCCACUCUCCUCUAACUUCAAUCCCAAGCUUGAGAUUCCAUUAAUUCAAGGCUUCCAAACCAAGCCUUCAAGUAAUACAAUUAGAUUAUGGUUCCAGUCCAUCCUCUUGGACUUUUGGCUCCAAGCACCUUUUACAAACCUUAAAAGAUAUCUCACUUUUGAACCCCUCAAGUGAUACCCCACACUUGAGAAUCUUCCUCUUAAAGAUAUAAAAAUAACUGAUCUCACAAAAUCCUAGUACAAAAACUUUAAGCUCAAAUGAUACUAGAAAACUAUGAUUGAAUGGUAUACUAAAAUUAUGAAAGUUUUAGAACAAUGGUGCACUCAAAACACUCUUCCAAGGCUCAAAUGCAUUCAAGAAAGGUUUGGGAAGGUUAAACUCAUGAAACAAUGAAGAUUAAAGUAUUUUUAUAGAAGAAAAAAACCAAACUAGCCGUUGGGGGUUCGACUGGUCGAGCUGGGGGUUGACCAGUCGAUUAACCGUUAGCAUUUAAUACUUGACAAGUGACCGUUGGACCUCGACUAGACCUCAACUAGACCUCGACCGUAUCUCAAUCAGUUAAGGUUCAAUCUUGACCGGUUGAACAACCGUUUUACAAGAAAGAGAAAGUUUUUUGCACCUUUAACCAGUUGAGCUGGGGGUCGACCUGGACCUCGACCGAUUGAGCUGGGGAUUGACCCAAACCUAGACCGGUUGAGUUGGCGGUCAACCGAUUCCUCAUCCGGUUCAACUGGUUGAGUUGUUUUUGGUUCAACAACCAAUUUUUUCCAACUUAAAACAAGUUUGAAAACAUUUGACACGAGGUUUUAGUUGAAAACAUGAAAUCAUUCAAUUUUUAAAAUAUUUAAAACAAAAUAACUCUUUGAUGAUUUUGGUGCAUAAGUAAAGAAUGUAAUACAUGAAAAUCCUAAUUCACCAACAACCUUACAAAUAGAUCUUAUGAAGUUUGAGUCUUGAAAAACACUUUUCUUUGAGGUCUUUUUCUUCUUCAUGAUUUCUUUUUGAUUUGAUUUGUUUUUGUGAUUGCCACUUUGGAAAUCGUCUUGCCUAAUCACACUUGAAAUAUAAUCAUUAGUUCUAAACCUUGUUUUGUUAUUAUCAAAACCGAGAUUAAUCAAACUUUGGUUUCACAAGGAGUUUAAGGUUGGAAUAAUAAUAAUUAUUUUUAAUUUCAAUAUUAAAAUAUUUAUUUUCAAUUCUAAAAAACCUCUCACACAUGGCAUAGUUUUUUUUUUUUUUUUUGAAAAAGACUAUUUUGAUGUGUGAUUUAAAAACAAUUUUGUUUUAAAAUUUUAUACUAUUGUUUGAUAUUCUUGAGAAACAUUUUUUAAAAACAAAGUAAGAAGUUUAAUAAUUUUUAAAGAUAAUUUGAAACUUAAAAGUAUAUAUAUAAUGACUAUAAAAAUUAAUAAACAUAAUUAAUGUUUUAAUUUUUUUUAAUAAAUCUUCUAAUUUAUAAGAAUAAUUUGAAAUUCAAAAUUUGAUUAAUUAAUUAUAGAUUAAAUAAAAAAAAUUUAGAAUAAAAUUUUUUGCAAUACAAUGUCCUUACUUGAGUACUAAAGUUAUGACAUAUAAUGAAAAUUUUGACUCAUUUAUUCCUUAACAAUUAUUUUUUUAAUUCAUUUAAAAUAAAAUAGUAUUAACAAUUAUUGAUUUCAAAUUAUUAUUAUUUAUUUUUAAUAAAAUAAAUCAAUUAUGCUUUGAUAAGAUAUUAAUAUCCACAUUUUUAUAAUGUGAAACCAAUGUUUGGUUAAUCUCGGUUUUGAUAAUAACAAAAUAAAGUUUAGAACUAAUGAUUAUAUUUCAAGUAUGAUUAGACAAGAUGAUUUCCAAAGUGGUAAUCACAAAGACAAAUCAAGUCAAAAAGAAAUCAUGAAGAAAAAGACCACCUCAAAGAAAAGUGUUUUUCAAGACCCAAGCUUUAUAAGAUCUCUUUGUGAGGUUGUUGGUGCACUAGGAUUUUCAUGCAUUACAUUCUUUACUUAUGUACCGAAAUCAUCAAAGAGUUAUUUUGUUUUAAAUAUUUUUAAAAUUUGAUGAUUUCAUGUUUUCAACUAAAACCUUAUGUCAAAUGUUUUUCAAAAUUGUUUAAAAGGUUUUAAGUUAAAAAAGUUGGUUUUUUGAGCCAAAAACGGCUUAACCGGUUGAACCGGAUGAGGAACCGGUCGACCGCUAGCUCAACCAGUCAAGGUAUGAAUAGUAAUCGGUCGACCUCCAACUCAACCGGUCAAUGGUGUAAACAGUAACUAGUCGACCCUCAGCUCAAUUGGUCAAGGGUGUAGAAAAAAUUCUCUUUAUUUCAGAACGGUUGUUCAACUGGUCAAGGUUGAACCUCAACCGGUUGAGGUCCGGUCGAAAUCCAACAGUCACUUGCCAAGCAUUAAAUGUUAACAUCUAGUUAACUGGUCGAACCCCCAACGACUAGUUUGGUUUUUUUUUUUUCUAUAAAAAUGCUCUAAUCUUUAUUGUUUUAAGAGCUUAACAUUCCUAAACCUUUCUUGAAUAUAUUUGAGUCUUGGAAGAGUGUUUUUUAGUGCACCAUUAUUCUAAAACUUGCAUAUCUUUAGUGUACUAUUCAAUCCUAGUUUCCUAGUAUCAUUUGAGUUUAAAGUUUUUGUACUAGGAUUUUGUUAGAUCAUUUAUUUAUAAAUCUUUGAGAGAAAGUUUUUCUAGUGCAUGGUAUCACUUGAGGGAUUAUUCAAGAGUGUGAUAUCUCUUGAGAAGUGUAAAGGGUGUUCGGAGCCAAAAGUCCAAGAGGGUGAAUUGGAACCAUAAUCUAAUUGUAUUGCUUGAAAGCUUGGUUUGGAAGUCUUGAAUUAAUGGAAUUUCAAGUUAGGGAUUGAAGCUAGAGGAGAGUGAAUGUAGGCCGGGUUGCGCCAAACCACUAUAAAAUCUUGUGUUUGCAUUCUCUCUUCCCCACUCUUUUAAUUUAUAUGCAAUUGUCUUUAUAUUAUUUAUUAUAUACUUGCAUAUAAUUGUCUCUUACAUUCAUCCCCCUUUUAGGAUGAUUACCAUAGGUUGGAUUAACCUAAUUUUUCUAACAUAUAAUAUUUGUGAAAAUAUAAUUUAUGAUUUUAUUAUAAUACUAAUAUUCAUAUUUUAUUUAAAACUAUUUAUAUUUUAAUUUAUUUAUAAUUACAAAACUUUCUUUUUAAUAAGACUUGAAUUAAAGUUAGUUUAUAUUAUAUAAAUAGAAUUUACUUCUUUUUUAUUUUUUAUUUAUUUUUACACAAUCUAAAUAAAAAAAUUUUAAAAAAUAAUUUAUCAAAAAAAGUUUUUGAUUUUAAAAAUUUGUAAAAUGAUUUUAAAAAUAAGUUAUACUAGGAAAUCAAAAUACCUUAUACAUGAAUUGAAAUACCAUUUAUAAGUGAAGUUUCUUUUUCUUUGAAAUCAUUCUUGAUUUUAUUCCCAGUCUCACUUAAAUUAUUUAAAUGGGGAAUGGAUAAGAAAAGGAAUGAAAACACAUUCUUAAUUCUCAUUCCUACUUAUCAAAUAUCUUAGGGGGUGUUUGGUACGUCGGAAUAGGGAAUGGAAAUAAUAUUUUGUUUCCUUUCCUAUUUCUUAGUGGAAUGGAAUGAAUUUGAUGAUUCCAUUUCUAGCAUUUGGAUGAACUUAGGAAUGCAAGAUUAGAAUGAUUAUUUGUUUCCAUUCCAAUGUUUGAUAAUAAUAGGAAUGGAAAUGAAAAAGAAAUAAAUUUACAAUAAUAUCCUUACAUAUAAUUUAAAAUAUUUUUUUAUUUUUACUUUUAUUUUAAAAAAAUAAAUUUUGAGAGGUUUUUUGUUAUUAAAUAAUAAGACUAAAAAAUAUAUAUAUAUACUCAAUAAAUAAAAAAUUAACCAUAAAAAAUCGUAUAACCCUAAUGCACAAAUAUUCAAUUAUUAUUUUUAUUAAAAAUUUGAAUAAUUUGUCAUGCUUAAGUAGUUAUAAAAUUAUAUUUUAAAAAAAAAUAUUUUGAGAGGUUUUUUGUUAUUAAAUAAUAAGACUAAAAAAUAUAUAUAUACUCAAUAAAUAAAAAAUUAACCAUAAAAAAUCGUAUAACCCUAAUGCACAAAUAUUCAAUUAUUAUUUUUAUUAAAAAUUUGAAUAAUUUGUCAUGCUUAAGUAGUUAUAAAAUUAUAUUUAAAAAAAAAAUAUUUAUUAUAAUAUUUAAAUUCUCAAAGCUAACAAAUGUUUUUCCUAUUUUCAAAAAAGGAAAUAAAAGUACUCAAAUUUAUUCUAAUUUUCAACCAGUAUCAUAUCCGAUAAAAUCAAUAACCUUAAAAAAUUUUAAUAUUUGUUUUUUUUUAUCAAAAUUUUAAAUAAUUUGUCAUGCAAAAAAAGCUAUAGAAUCCAUAAAUGAAGAGAUCUUGACUGUGGCCCAUGCUAAAGUUCCAAAAUGAGUCGGAAACGCAGCAGAUUUUAUGCGAGACAACAGAAUCCAUAGCUUUAACUAGGAAAGGAAGACUCCGAUAAUAAUAAACAAAGGGGAAAAAAAACCAAAAGUUUUGUUUUUGUUUGUUUUUAUUUUUUUAUUUUUUUCCUAACCAUUAAAAAUUUUCAAUAUUGUAAACACGUGAAAUCGAAAAAUCUUUUUCCAACCAUUUCAAUUUUUCUCUCCAGUUUCCAUUAAUACAAGAUAAAGAAACAUCAAAGAUUACAAACAUAAAUUAAUAAAAAAAAAAUUAAUCGAUUUAUAGAGAAGAAGAAACACAUAUAAAGAAGUAGAAGAAAAAAGAAAAAAUAAGGUAAACCUGAUCGAAGAUGUAGAAGAGAGUUUUCAGAACCUAGCUGCAGCAAACAAUGACAAAUCCUAAAUCCAACAAUCAAAAUGAACAUCCAAAACCCUAUAAAUUAGAAAUUGAUUUUUUUUAAAAAAAUAUAGUGGAAGGUUUAAUUGAUUCAAUUUGGAAGAAUCACUUAUUGUAGAGAAUUGGAUGAUGAGUGGGUCUCUAGCUUUGCAAAGAAGAUAAGAAGUGGAUGAUGAAUGGAUCUCUACCUUUACAAAGAAGAUAAACAUCGGGUUUGAAGAACAAGAUAAAAGGGUAAAAUAGUAAUUUAGGUUAUUUUAUAUUAUCAAAUAGGUUUAAUGAAUCAGAAUACCACCUACUUUUAAUGAAUGCAAAUCCGACUCAUAAGUUGGAUUUGAUUUCUGCCGGAAUAAUUUUUUAUUUCAUUUCUGCCUUCUUAACAUUUAUCCAAACAUAGGAAUAAGGGAGAAAAGGAAUGAGAUGUCUAUUCCCACUCCUUAUUCCCGUGUACCAAACACCCCCUUAAAGAAUUCAUCAUUCGGGAUUCUGAUUGACAUUGUUUAUUUAUUUAUUUAUUUAUUAUUAUUGUUAUUAUUAUUAUUAAUUUAAAGAAUAAAAUUCAAUUUGAAAAUUUAAAUAUGUAUAAUAAAUUUUUUGAUCUACCAAGAUAUUUUUGUUUAUUUUUCUAGGUUCCUAAGAAGUAGAAGACUCUAAAAGCAUUUAAAACUAAAAAUUUAUUUUGAAAACAUAUUUUAGAAAAACUAUUUUUACUCCAAAUUUGGUUAAUGUAUUUUGAAUUUGUAAAACUAUUUUUAUGUUUUUAGAAAAAAGACAUUUUCCAAAAGAAGCUCUUUUAAGUUGACUUUAAGUUUAAAUUAUAUUUAAUAUAUUCACUUAAAACUUAUUAUUUAAUUCUUACUUUAGAUAUUAAAGUUAUUUGAUAAAAUUAAUUUAAAAUCUAUUUUAAAUCAUCAAAUUAACAUAUUUAUCUUUAUAAAUUAUUAUUAGGGUAAAAGAGAUUGAGUAACAAUAGAGGUUGUGAAUUAUUAAAAUCUAUCAUUGAAGUAAUUAAAACAAAUGAGAAGAAAAAUGUUAAAUGAAAAUGUGGAUUUAAAAACAAAUUAAUUGUUUUUACUUAUUACUGAAAAUUAUUUUUUACUUUAAGUCAUAUCAUCAAGUUAUUUUACCAAACAUACUGAAUUUACUUAAUAACUUAAUUUAUUAAGUUAUUAAGUUGGUUUACCCAAGGUAUAAGUUUUAAAAAAUUAAGCAAAAAUUCAGUUUAAUAUAAAGGAAAAUAAUAUUCAUCAUGUGAAAAAUGACAUUUUUACAAUGAAAAAAAAGAAGAAGAGAAAAAGAGAAUGAAUUUUCAACCAAGCAUAGCAGGAUCAGGGGAAUUGCCUUCGAAUGAAUUAGGCUGGGCUCGACCAACCGAACCAAUAAUUAUCCAUUGGUUUUGGCCUGAUUUUGUGGAUGCUAGCCCACAGCCCAACAGUCCCAACAGGCCCAACAGGCCCAAGGCAAACUCAUUGUUUUUUCAUUUUCGGUUCCAUGAUCUUCUCACUAAAUAGUUUUUCCUCUCUUUGUUCCUUUUUACUUGCAGAGAAAGAAAACAGAGCAGCAAAGCACAGUCGCUCCAAACCCUAGGUUUUCUGCAUCGGACUUACCCCAGAUUUGUAAGUGGUCUCUUCAGAUUCGUUGUUCAGCAAUUUCUCAGCCUUUGCUUCCACGGUAGUGCGCAAGAACUAAAAAAAAAAUUCUUUUUAUUUUUUAUUUUUUUGUCUCUUGAUUUUUCAUUUAAUGUUCCUUUUGGUUGCUAAGAAAUCGUAGGAAAAGAAAAGGAAAUUUGGAAUUCUUAUUUAACUGUAUUGCAAUCUCCCGUUUUCUCAGCAGUCAAAUGGUCGGUUUUAAGUCGUUUUAUUUUUUCGAUCUCGGCAGGGUUUAGAGAAGAUGACCCAAGAUGUGGAAAUGAAAGACCGUACAGCUCCUUCGAACUCUGUUUCUUCCACUGGUCCAUCCACUUUGCACCGUAAGUACAGACUUAAGAUUAUCUGUAUUCAUUUUAAAUUAUAUGCUACGUUUAAUCACCUCGAUUUGGUAGGAAUAAACAGAAACAAAUUCAAAAUUUGAAUAUUUGGUAUUUGAUUAUUUGGGACCUACAUCUAAAAAUGAUUUCUACUGUGCCUGAUGUGAUUUUUUUUUUUUUCAACUAAGUUGAAAGUUCUUUUCUUUUCCUUAACUUCAAACAGAGGAUUAGGAUUUUUUGUUCAUUUGUUUCCUCGUUAUUUGGGAUGUAGAGUUGAAGGAGAUAGCAUCACUCAUCGAGACGGGUUCAUACACCAAAGAGGUGCGGAGAAUUGUGCGAGCUAUUCGCCUCACGAUGGCAUUGAGGAGGAAGCUGAAGGUGCCAGUGCUCUCUGCCUUUCUUGAUUUCGCUCUUGUGCCAGUUUCUGAAGCCCACUCCAGGUUGUCUGCGUAUCUUCCCAAAGUAAGUGAGCCUUUGAGUGUCUUGGUUCUCUGGUAUUUUUCAUAUAAUUUUGUAUUGUUUCUGUAAGUUUUUCCAUAUAUCAAUGUUAUUGCCAUCACUGUAGAUGUGUAGAUUGAUGUUGUUAGUCAUAAUGAGUGUUUGGGGUAACCCAAAAAUUAGGCUAGAUUAAGAUGAUAUAGUAUUGUAUUCAGUGAAACAAAGGCAAUCAUGUGCACGAGCCUUUUGUGAUAUGAAAUACUUAUAUUUUGAGACUGGAGGAAUAUUUUUCAUGCUUACUUUAGAAGCGCAAAAUCUAUCUUAUUCUAGAGGACUUGGAGGAUCAGAUGGAAAAUUCUCAGUCUGUAAGGAGAUGGAUUAGUUGAAGGUAGGUAAAUUAUGUUAUGUGCUCUUCAGCUGAUUGCCUUAGCUACAUUAUGGAAUGAAAAUUAUAAGGUUGGAUGCCUUAGCCCUUCUGCUGGGGGGAAAAUCCCACAGCAUCAUUGGGUAUACAAGUGAUGUGUGGAUCUAAGGUUUGACUGCAGUUCAAUACAGUAACUAUGCUAGUAGUUUUGGAUGGUCAUCCAAAACACCCUAAGCAAGGAUUUCAAAUACUAAUUAGCAAGAUGAUGGCUCAAUUGUUGGUUUCCUGGAGGAUUUGAAGUGCUUGAACCAUUCAUACAUCUGCAACAUGUGGUGGGAAGAAGUGGCAUAUGUUCCAGUGAUUAAUGAGUCCUUGAGGCCCAGCUCAAGUGGUAAGGAGUUGUGGGAGGAUUCAGAUUUAAGUCACAGUGUGGGGAAUAAAAAAAGAGUUUACCUAUCAUUAAAAGAAAAGGUUUUAGUGAUUACCAAGUUAAUUUGUUUGGUACUGCACAGUUGCCCUUAGUCCUGCCCAAAAGGCUUGAAGUAAUUUCUGACUUUUUUCUGAGAAUGGCAGGUUUGCCUCAGGUGUUACCUGUAUAGUUGAUGAUAGAAUAAGUUUCUAUAAAUGUGAUCCGUCCAUGUAUAGAGAAGACCAAUUAUGGCAGCUAUGAAAUGUGAAUUUGUAUUCAUUUGGAGUGGGAAGGGGGGAAUGGUCUCUAGAUAGGUUGAGUUGGCACAACGAGCUUCUAAAUAAGGCUGGCCAUGGGAAUUGUAGUGGAAUUCACAGUAUGUAUCUCUACAUCCUUGCAUCUAUCUAAUGAAUGGUGAACUUUGAUUUUUUACAUUAUGACAUAGUAAUUAAGAUCCUUAUAUAAGCUUUUAAAGCAUAUUUAAUUUCUUUGUGGAAAUCCUUAGUGCUAAGGUUCAUUGUAAUAUUUGUUGUAGGAAGAUGAGCAUGACAUGGAAGUUGACACAGCAACAUCUGCCGAUCAAGCUCCAGUGAAGCACUUAGUGCCCGAGCUUGAGAUUUACUGUUACUUGCUUGUAUUAGUUUUUCUGAUUGAUCAGAAAAAGUACAAUGAGGUUGGAUUGAUUUUAUUGACUUGACUUCUUAAUUUUCAACUUAGCAUGAACCGAUUAAGUUUGUCAUAUUGUAAUAUGGCUUAGUUGUGUUCCCAUUCAGGCUAAAGCAUGUUCUUCAGCAAGCAUUGUUCGGCUUAAGAAUCUGAAUAGAAGAACUGUUGAUGUUUUAGCAUCCAAAUUAUACUUGUAUUACUCAUAUAGCUAUGAGCUUACAGGUCAUCUAGCUGAAAUUCGAGGGUGAGCUAUCAAUUUAUCUUAUUUUGUGUGCAUUCCUGUAAAGAUAGAUAUAGCACAAUUCCAUACAUGUUAACAUGUAGCAGGAAUUAGAGAAUUUGUAGCCAAACAUGAAUUAUAUCUGUUCUUUUUGCUGACUUGAAAACCGUCCUAUUUCCAGCAACCUCCUUGGCUUGCACCGGAUUACAACAUUGCGCCAUGAUGAGCUGGGCCAGGUUUGUGUCAAAUUAACUUGGAAAAGUGUGCAGUGCAUGUGUUUAAGGAGCUUAUGUUUGAUAUAAUCCAUUACGAUGCAGGAAACACUCCUCAACCUCCUAUUACGAAACUACCUCCACUACAACUUGUAUGAUCAGGCAGAAAAGCUGAGAUCAAAGGCACCACGGUUCGAAGCACACUCAAAUCAGCAGGUGCCUUGAUGUAUUGUUGUACUUUAUUUUUGUGUGUGUAUGUGUUUUUCCUAUUAUUUUGUUUUGUUUUCUUUCUUUAAAUUUUGGGAAUCAGGCAUUAUGGGUAAUGAUCCUGGCUCUCCCACAUAACUCAGUGGCAUGAUCCAUUGUACUUUCUGCUGAUUAGGUUCCUGCUAGAUGUCUACAAGCUGAUUGAUAAUUAGCGCUUAACUUUCCAAUUGGGUUCUGGUCAAUGGACCUCCAAAUUUAUAUGUUAUUCGUUUCAAUCCAUUGUUACCCAUCAAUAACUGUUUGGUAAGAAAUUGAAACCAAGAGCCAACCAAAGCCAAAAAUCCAUUGAACAUGGAGGCUUAAGCCGCUUGUAAAAUAUAUACCAAAAGCCGACAAAGCCCUAAGACCCAUUGAAAUCUAUUGAAUAUUUGAGGCUUAAGCCUUAAAAGCCUUGAGGCAACAGUCUUAGCCUGUACUCCUCAACAGGGUAAGAUUUGAGUCUCAUCUCAAUUAGCCUCGAGUAAGGCUAUAGCCUCAAAUAUAAUUCACAGUGUCUCGCCUUGAGGUGAGCCUCAGGGCAUUAGCCUCAUUAGCCUUUGAAAGACUAGUUCCCCCCUGGAGUUCUCUAAUAACUUAGCUCAGUGGCAUGGGCCAUUGUGCCCUCUGCUGUUCCUUCUAGAGGUCUACAAGCUGAUAGUUACAGUUUGCAACUUUCCAAUUGGGUUCUGGCCCAGUAGACUUUUGUUUUAUAUGCUAUUUGUUUUCAUUCAUUUGUCAUCCAUUAAUAACUUUUCAGUAAGAAAUUAAAACAACUCAUUUUAUUAUCAUCACCGUGUAUUUAUUUUCAAUAUUUGUAUCUUUGUUCACUCUCAAUUAAUUGUUACCAAUCCCUGUUCAUAAUGGUUCCAGCACUUUGUGAUUGCAAAUCUGGCUUGGUUGCCCUCCCUAGGGAUCAAAAUCUUAUUAGAACAUUUUUUUUCCUGCAGUUCUGUAGAUAUCUUUUCUACCUUGGGAAGAUCCGUACAAUUCAAUUGGAGUAUACCGAUGCAAAAGAGAGUCUUCUACAGGCUGCUCGUAAGGCCCCUGCUGCAGCUCGAGGAUUCCGAAUUCAAUGUAACAAGUGGGCCAUUAUAGUCCGUUUACUGCUGGGAGAGAUACCUGAAAGAACAGUAUUCAUGCAGAAAGGAAUGGAGAAGGCUUUGAGGCCGUACUUUGAACUUACAAAUGUGAGUGUUGACUUGUUAAACUUGAAGCUUCUUUCUUAAUUAUUACAAGCACACACGUUAGUUCUCUUGUUUUAAACAAGGUCAGAGAAUCAUGAUGGAAGAUUGGUUAACUGCUCCCUUAAUUCCAUGAAUCAUUACUGGGGGUUUAUGUAAAGCUAAUUGUUUGGAGUUCUCUGGCCUUAAACUAUGCAAAUUGGGCUAAAUCAAUAUGUAGUCCUGAUAUAUAACCAUUUUAUUUUGAACGAAAAUUUUUAAUUAUAUGAUGUAACUUUCAGGCUGUUCGGAUUGGUGAUUUGGAGCUGUUUAGGUCUGUUGCAGAAAAAUUUGCUGGCACUUUCAGUACUGAUCGAAUCCACAAUCUGAUUGUUCGGCUGCGGCAUAAUGUCAUUAGGACUGGGCUGCGGAACAUUAGCAUCUCUUAUUCCCGCAUCUCGCUUGCAGAUAUCGCUAGCAAACUGAGAUUGGAUUCUGCAAACCCUGUUGCGGAUGCUGAGAGCAUUGUGGCCAAGGCUAUUCAUGAUGGUGCAAUUGAUGCCACGUUGGAUCAUUCAAACGGCUGGAUGGUAUCAAAAGAGACCGGAGACAUCUACUCCACAAUUGAGCCGCAAAUUGCUUUCAACUCCCGGAUUACUUUUUGCCUGAACAUGCACAAUGAAGCAGUUCGGGCCCUCCGGUACCCACCAAACACACAAAAAGAGAAGGAAAGUGCUGAGAAGAGGAGGGAGAGGCAACAGCAGGAGCAAGAACUUGCAAAGCAUAUUGCAGAGGAGGAGGAUGAUGAUUUCUGAGGGAACAGGGGGGUCUUCAUGUAAUUUUUCUACAGAGAACAGGGUGCCUUACUGGCUGCUUGUAUUUUUCUUCUGUCUCCUCCAUUCCAAGAGCCAGCGAGUUCAUAGUCUCUUACCAUAACCAUACCUUUUAGAGCAAACUAUAGUAGAUGGUCACAUUCUACUGUUUUUGUCUGUUGAUUUUUAUCAUGGCAAUUUGAAUAGCUCACUUCAUGUUUUGACUGUGUCAAGUCUGGUUCUACAGGUACCCCAUCGUAUCUAUUGACAAAUUGCAUUAGUGGUUGAAUUUAUUUAGCUGCCACUUUUGUUUGUUUUCUGGGAAACCUUGACCGCAUUGCCUGCAUUUGAUCCUCUAGCUCAACCAACAUGAAGGGUCUUUUUAAUGUAAGUGCCACGAAAGUCUCAUGGUCGGCUGGUUUAUUGGUCUUCCUCACGCAUCACAGCUGCAAGCCAUUAAGGUAAACCUUUAUGAUGGAGCUUCAUGUCACGCGUGAUUAUCCCACUCAUCUAUGAAUUCACCUCUUAUUUAUGGAUGCACCAUGUGCUAUAAUGUGGCUUGGACAUCAUCGAGAAAAGGCCCCCCAUAUGAUGCUGUUAGACCAUAGAUCUCUUCAAAUUGCUGUCAUCCAGCACCAGGGGCAAACUCAAUUAAUGAAAACUUCUCCAGAAUCUAAUCAAUCUCACCAUCAUUAUUAAAAUAAAAUUUCACGCCUUUUCAUUCUUCUGUAUCAUGUGCGAUGAUUGAUAAUAGCUCCAAUCAUUUACAUCCUCCAUAAAAGGGUCUCCCUUUCUUCAUCAUCCCUUUUACUCAACAUAUCAUUACUUGUUUAUAAUAUACGUUUAUGUAUAGGACGAAAAGUCAUAUUAUUGCCCAUUCUUCUCUUUCCCAUUUGGUGUUGUGGCUGCUCAUGGCCACUUGCACAUCCACCGCCAGUUCAGAUUCAUGAAUUCUCACAGUAGACUUUUCUCUUGGUUUUGCCUCCCAGUUUUACCUUGGCAUGACAAAGUUCAAAUCUGAAUGCUGAUCACUAUUUGUAGCCAUAGCAGAAAACAUUUGCUUUCUUUGCAGAGUUAAAUAAAGAAGGGCUAUUUGUUUUUGCUGUUUUAGAGACCAAAUCAUAGGACAAGAUCUGAGAAAUCGUGUUGCCUAAUAGUCGGUGAAAUCCCAGAAUUAGCCUAUCAGAGACAGCCAUUUCAGUAGUAAAAUUUAAAAACAACUCAGCACCGCCUGUCAGGAGGAAGAAAAUAAAAAAUAAAAGGAAAGAAAAGCUCAUCUCUAUCUGAUGUGAAAUGGGGUCAUGUGCAUAACGCUGAAGAAUGAUGGGGGACUGUAUCAUAUGGGUCAAAGCAACACCAUGUGAGGUUUGUAUUAUAUGAUUCUGUUUAAGGAAAAUAUUCUAUCGCAUAAGGCUCUGUAUUCCUUGAAAUAGCAACAAGCAACCACAUUAAAAGAAUGCAAGAAAAAAGGACAAUUGGGUUUGUGGUUUCUGAUCCAUUCACGGCUCUUCUAUUGGGAAAUGCAUGUGGUUAGAGAACGUGGGAAUAAUUGAAUGAGUUUCUGGACUCUUCAGACUUGUUGAUAUAAUUCAAUAUUUAAAAUUAAAGAAGAAAAAAAAAACUUGUAACUUCUCUCUACUUGCAGAGAUCACAUGUGAGGCUGUUGCAUUGGAGAGCCUAGCUCCUAUUUAAAUAGGCAGUCCUGGAGAUCAGAGAAGCCAGUAAAUGUGAAAAUUGUCCCAUUCCUCAUCAUCCUCCAUCUUCCUCAUUCUCCUUGAUCCUUGGUCUCCCCUGAUACAGAAAUGGCGAAAAAUCUGCUUCAUGCUUUAGCAAUGGUGCGCGUAAUUUGCUAUUUUUUCUCGAAUGUUAAUGCCUUUACUGCUUCUGGGUGGACUAAAGCUCACGCUACGUUUUAUGGAGGCAGUGAUGCCUCUGGGACAAUGGGUAAGUGGCUGUUUCAUGCCUUAUAUCUCUACUACUUUUAUGCUUCUGGGACAAUAGCUUAAUGUUUUUGCUUGCCCAACAGGAGGGGCUUGUGGAUAUGGAAACUUGUACUCUACUGGAUAUGGAACAAGAACGGCAGCUUUGAGCACAGCAUUGUUCAAUGAUGGGGCUUCAUGUGGGCAAUGCUACAAGAUCAUAUGUGAUUACCAAUCCGAUUCACAGUGGUGCAAGAAAGGAGCUUCUGUGACCAUCACUGCAACAAACUUUUGCCCUCCAAACUAUGCUCUUCCAAGCAACAAUGGAGGGUGGUGCAACCCACCCCUGCAGCAUUUCGAUAUGGCUCAGCCAGCAUGGGAAAAGAUCGGUAUUUACAGAGGCGGGAUCGUCCCAGUGCUGUUCCAAAGGUCCCAAUACCUACUUUUUCUUCUAUUAUUAUUAUUAUUAUUUUUCCUACCUUAUAUUGAUGUUGAACAAUGUUUCAGGGUUCCAUGUAAGAAGCAUGGUGGUGUUAGAUUCAGUGUUAAUGGAAGAGACUACUUCGAAUUAGUAUUGAUAAGCAAUGUAGCUGGGGCUGGAUCUAUUCAAUCAGUAUCAAUCAAAGGCUCCCGGACCAGUUGGAUGGCCAUGUCCAGGAACUGGGGAGCUAACUGGCAGUCUAAUGCCUAUCUCAAUGGCCAGUCUCUGUCCUUCAAGGUCACCACCACUGAUGGAGUGACCCAAGAAUUCGACAAUGUUGUGCCUUCAGAUUGGGGGUUUGGUCAGACCUUCUCUAGCUCAGUACAGUUUUAAGCCAAGAAAGCUGCUUUGGGGUUCAGGGUUUCGGGUUUUCAUUGGCAGAGGCGUGCUUACUAUUUUAAUGAAGCAGCCCGCCCUAAAUUAUGAGAAGGAAUUCUCAAAUGGUUGGCAAUGGAGAUGGGGGCUAACCCAUGAACUCAAGGCUACUAUCAACUCCUUGUGCCCAUUUCUUCCACAGGGCCUGAAAACCAAAUUAUGGUGUCAUUGUGUGUUGAAAAUUUUCGGGAUCUUACUGAAAAUCAUGCACAUCAGAAAUAAGAAGCACAUGCAGUUAAAUUGCAGCUUCAAAUAUAUGAAUAGUUCUUUUUUUCUUCAUUUUACAUAUGCUUGUAAUAUCAAUCUUUAUCAGCAAGGUUUGACCAUUCCCAACUAAUAAAGAUCCCAGUAAAUCAUUUUUUUUUGCUUUUGCCUUUCCAUCCAUGAUCUACUUUUUGAUAUUAAAAUGCUCUUACUGUUUAUUUUGAUAAAUUAAGAAGAUAGCUAUAUAGUCAGUGAAAUUUAGCUUCUUGGUUCUUACCGCUUCACUGUUUCAUGCUUAGUCCAUGAAGCUUGGGUUUUUAUCGAUCCUCAGACCUGUUAGUUUUAAUAACAAUCAAGUUUUCUGAAUAUGGGGAUUGGAAAUUUAAUCAGACAGAGGCUUCAAAACUGAAUAAAUGAUCAGCAUUUCAUAUCAACAACAGUACUCUGCAUGAACUUUCUGUUAAAGUUUCGGUUAAAAUCAAUUAUUGAAGAAAAACAGUUUCCAAUCUAUCAAAGCUUUCACCAUCUCAUAAAAGUCCAGUGUUUAAAAAUGAGUAUCGAAUCCUAACAUCUUCUGAUGGAGAUUUCUUUGCCUACCUGGUGGAAAUUACUUCAUAUUCAAGUCAGAAGCCAGCUGGAGACAUUUUAGUACAACAUUGGAGGGGGAAAAUUUAUGUACUACUAAUAUGAAUUUGGUUGAUAAAGAAAAAUGAAAGAUUGCUAAGACCUAAGUACAAUUUGAGGCCAAACUUUCAAGUGUACUACUAGCCUAGAUGUGGAAUACUAACAACAUAGAGGAAACUGUUCCUGAUGAUCAUCUCCAAUCUCCUAUUGUUUACUAGCUGCUCGGCACUUUUAGAUAAGCAUUGAAGUAAGGAACAUUUGGAACAAAUAUGAUUACGCAACGAUCCCUUUAUUAGUUCAACCCCUUCCACCAAAUUUAUUCUCUUUUCACGUUGGUAGGGUCACUAUGCCAGUCUAACUAAAGGCCAUUUGAUUGCUUAUUUUCAAAGAAGGCCUAAAGAAAGAAAAAGAUGAUGCAGCUAUUUCUGCUACCAGUUUGUGUUUAAUUUAGUAUUCAACUUUUGGGUAUGGGUUAAUCACCUACCCUUUGGUCAUCUAUGACUAUAAUGGAAUUGUUUAGUAUCAUUAAACUCGUGCAAAUGCAUUGCUUUUCAAACCUUCAACCGGUCAUUUUCUGUAACGAGUUCUUAACUUGGGCCUUGACAGAGUUGAAAUUAAGAACAGAGAAAUGGAAUCAUUGCAAACAACUUAAUUUGACUUGCCCACCAAAAGAAGAAUAAUGAAGGGGCCAUGCCUUGUCUUCUUAUGAGAAUGCUUCAAAAAUACUACUCCACUGUCAGGGUUUUUUGCUCACCAAAUUAACUAACCAUGUCCUCAAUAACAACUCCAACUUUCUUUUUCCAUUCUCCCCCCACUACAAAUACUAGUCUGGUCUUUUUAGCUUUCACAGAUAACCAGCAGAAAAGAGUCGAAUUCUGUAGUUUCUAGUAUGGGGGCAGCUAAUAUACUCGGAGUGCUGGUUCUCACACUACUUGUCAUGUUUCCAGUUUCUUCUCCAGUCUAUGCACUGAGCUUAAACUACUAUGAUCAGACAUGCCCCAAGGCUGAGUCAACAAUUUCGGAUGCUGUCAAAAAGGCAAUGACAAAUGACAAAACAGUUCCAGCUGCCCUACUUCGAAUGCACUUCCAUGAUUGCUUCAUUAGAGUAAACAUUUUCUGCUCUUAUCUUUCUGCCCUUAUCCUUCUUCUAUGUUGUUUGUAAACUUAGAACAACAAUAAGCCUUUUUGCAGGGGUGUGAUGCUUCUGUGCUGCUGAAGUCAGUGGGCAAGAACACAGCAGAAAAAGAUGGGCCUCCAAACAUUUCAUUGCAUGCAUUUUAUGUUAUUGACAAUGCCAAAAAAGCAGUGGAAGCUCUCUGCCCUGGUGUCGUCUCUUGCGCUGAUAUCUUGGCUCUGGCUGUAAGGGAUGCAGUUGCCCUGGUUAGUUAACAAUCAUAAUUGUCAUAUAAUAAUGACAGUUAUCGACUUUGGUUUAGAUGAUAUUGGUCAAGUAGUUGAAGUACUGUUUGACUUGGUUAUAACAUUUUUGUUACAUGUUUUUCUCUGGUGGAAUAUGUUAGUCUGGAGGCCCUACUUGGAAUGUGUCAAAAGGGAGAAAAGAUGGAAGGAUCUCAAAGGCAACUGAGACCAGACAGUUACCAGCUCCAACCUUCAACAUAUCUCAGUUGCAGCAAAGCUUCUCCCAGAGGGGACUUUCCAUGGAAGAUCUAGUGGCACUCUCAGGUAAAAACCAACACUAAAUUUUGAUUGUGUUUUGAGUUUUUCAGUAGAAUAUAUGGAGAGUCUGAUUCUGAUUCAAAUCUGGGCAUACAGGCGGUCACACUCUCGGAUUCUCUCAUUGUUCAUCCUUCCAAAACAGAAUCCACAACUUCAACUCCACCCACGACGUUGACCCAUCCGUACACCCAUCAUUUGCAGCCAGCCUACGAAGCGUGUGCCCCCUUCACAACAAGGUGAAAAAUGCAGGAGCCACCAUGGAUUCUUCCUCAACUACAUUUGAUAACACAUACUACAAACUUCUCCUCCAGGGGAGGAGUCUGUUCUCUUCAGAUCAGGCUCUACUCACUACUACAAAGACCAAAGCGUUGGUCUCUCAAUUUGCUAGCUCCAAAGAUGAGUUUGAGAAGGCCUUUGUGAAGUCCAUGAUCAAGAUGAGUAGCAUCACUGGUGGACAAGAGGUAAGGCUAGACUGCAGGGUGGUCAGGUGAAUUUGUAGCCAUUUGGAAACUUUCUGGUGAGGCGUGUGUUUCCUUUUAUUUGUAUGAUCUAAUGUUUGGAGGGUAUUGAAACCAUAAAAGUUACCAACUUGUGUGUUAUUGUUUGCUUCUUUGCCCGUGUACCGUUGAAGUGAACGGUGGCGAGAUGGAAACAAGGUUCAAAUAUGUAUAUGCAUAAAUGGAAAUGUUAAUGAAUUUCAAUUUUCAAAUAUGUGAUCCAGUGGAAGAGACUUUGAUUUGCAAAGUCUGCCUUUCCCUCAUUGAAAUAACAUAUUUUAUUUCCUCUCAUUUUAGUACCACUUAAGCCUAUGGUUAAGCAGAUGGGUAUCGAUUUAAUACUGUGAAGGACCUGUUUUCAAAUCUAAUCAAGACUUAUUGGCCAAGAAAAGGAAAAACAACUGGACAUUGUUGGAUAGGCAUUGAAGUUAGAACAGGCCUGGUUUGGCUACAAUUAAUCCCCUUAUUAGCUCAAUCCUAUCCAUCAAAUUUGUUGUCUUUCAUAUUGUGGGGUCAGUGGAAUAGUCUAACUAAAGGCCAUUUGAUUGCUUAUUUUAAAUAAGGUGCAGUUCGGAUUGGGUGCAUCUUCUACUCUGCAAUAAUGCAUCUUGGGAUUAUUUAGUACCAUUAGUUUUAUGCACAUAAAGUGGGAUGAUCGUAUACUUCAUGCCUUGACACGGUGGGAAGAAGAAAACAAAGGGAAUAAUUUCCAACAAAUUAAUUAAAAAAAAAAAAUGAUCUCAAGGCAUUCAUGACUACAGAAGAAAACCUCCUUCAUGCAAUCACCAUUAGGAUGUAAGAUUGAUUUAGUUAUUAGGCCCAAGCCCAGUUGAGGCCCGAUUUGAAAUUUUUAGCCGAAGCCUAGCCCAUCCAUCAUGUAAGUCUGUUCUGAGCCCAACCUAAUCCAUUCAAGGUCAGGUUCUAGCUAACCUCCUUCAAAGUAUGAGGGUUGUGGGAUAUCAAUUAAACCAAGCCUUGUGUUAUUAUAAUUAACAAAAUAAUUUGAUCAAUUUUUAGGGUUUAGGCCACUUUUUAAGCUAGGAGUUCCAAACCUGAGGUCCACCUAGGUUUGCCCCGAACCAAAACUACAUCAAGACCGCUUGAGCUCGAUGUGGGCCGCGACAGAUGCAUUCAUGUGUCCAAUCACCGUCUCUCCCCCGAUGAGAUGACUAAAAAGGUUGAAAAGUAAAAUUCUGAACAUAUUUGACGAAAAACAGUUUUUAUAAAGUAGGUUUUUUAAAGAAUAUUCUUUAAAAUAUUUUUUAAAUUCUUUUUAAAAAUUAAACUCUAUUCAAGAAUUCAAAUGUUGAAAGUAGCUUUUCCAUUUAGUAGUGUUUUUUUAAGAACACUUUUGAUCCAAAAAAGUGUUUUGAAAAUAAAUCAAAACUUUUGAUAAAAUUUGAAAAAUAUUUUUAAAAUUUUGAAAAAUUACUUAUAAUAUUUAAAAAUUAUUUAUAAUAUUUUAUAAAAAAAUAUUUGAUACAUAAUAUUCUUAAAAAUAUUUUUAUUAAAAACACUUAAAAUACAUUUGACAAUAAUUUUAAAAAAUAUUUUUAGUCUUUUUAAUAUUUGAAAAUUUUUAUUUUUUAAGUACUACAAAAAUUUUAAAUAUUUAAAAAAAUAAUUAUACUUUUAAUAUUUUUAAAUACAUUUUUUAAAAUGAUUUUAGAAAAUAUUUUUUAAUAUUUAAAAUUUUUUAUUUUUGCAUUAAAAAUUAUAAAAACACUUCUUAGAUCAUUGCAAAACGUAUUUUUAUUCUCAUUAUAAAUUAAAAAAAACACUUCUGUUAAAAACACAACUAAUAGAAAUACGUCAAACAUACUUUUAUUCUCGUCGUAGUUUAUAUAAAUAUAUACCCGGUAGAACUAGCAGUUUUCUUUGGUAACAUAAGGUGAUAAUUAAUUGCAAAGCACAGGUUCUUGUAGACCGUUUAUUCACGAAGAUGAAUACUAGCCAAGACGCUAACAUGAAGCCAAGGAGUCCUACAUCUUUGCAGACUUGCCGGCAAUGUCAAUUACAAAACGAUACCGAACAUCAUUCCUAGAAAGCCUAUCCAGUGCCUGGUUGAUCUGGUCUGUCUUCACCACCUCGAUAUCCGACUUUAUGUUGCGCUGCCCACACACAUCCAUCAUCUCCUGUGUCUCUUUCAUCCCACCUAAGAUGCUCCCUUUUAUUAUUCUUUUGCCUGUAACAUUAUAUAUAUACAUAGACACAUACUCAAUUAUGGGGCUUCUUAAUGUGUAUUAUAUUUAAUGUUUUUCACUUUCUAUUAAACAUGGAGGGAGCUGGGGUCAUACCAAAAAUCAAAGGGAAAGAAGGCAGCUCCAUGGGCUUAUCCGGUGCCCCCACAACCACCAAAGUCCCGUUCACUUUCAGCAAUUCUAGGUAGUUUCCGAGGGAGUGGUUGGCGGACGCUGUGUCCAAUAUGAAAUCCAGGGUCCUUUUCUUCGCCUGUCUCCCAGAAAUUGCAUAGAACCAUGUAUACAAGAUGAGAUGAAUAAAAAAGGUGGAAAAGGAAAAUAUUGAACAUAUUUGACAAUACAAUUAAAAACAAUUUUUAGAAAGUAGAUUUUUAAGAAUAUUCUUUAAAAAUAAUUUUUAAUUUUUUUCAAAAAUAAAAGUUUAUUUGAGAAUAUUAAGUUGGUUUACCAAAUAUCUAUAUAAUGUAUUUAAUUUCUAAAAUAAAUAAAAAUAAAAUAAAAUAUAUAUUAUUUUUCAAUGUUUAAAAUAAAAAAUAUAUUGAAUUCCAAUCUUGUUUAUUUAAAAAAAAUGAAAUUUCUCUUAGCAUUUAAUAAUUUUCAUGAUUAAAAUAUUUACAUUUAAUAAAUAUUCUUUUUAUAUUAAGUUAUAUAAAAAUAAUUUAUAUAUAUUAAAUAAUACAUAUGUUAAUAUUAUUUUAUAAAUAUUUAGUUAGCUUUUUUUUUAAAUCACAGAUUUAAUUUUAUAAUUAAUUUUUUUAUUUUUAAAAAAUAAAUAAUAUAAAAAAUAAAAAAUUAAUUAUAAAAUAAAUUUAUAAUACAUAAGAUAUCCUACUUUAUCUUAAAAUUAAUUUGUCCUAUGUAAAGAUGAUAAAAAAAUAAAGAUAAAUAAAUAUAUUACACCACUUGUUUUAUUUAAUAUAAAAUGAAACAAAUAAUGAGAUAAUUUAAUCGAUCAAAUAUGAGAUAAAAUAUGUUAUCAUUUUUUUUUUCCUAUCCACGUAAUUAUAAAGUUUUAUUUCAAACUUAGAAAUUAAUUUGGGGUUGAAAUAUUUAAGAAAAAUAUGGGAAUGAAAAUCCCCAAAGUUUUCCUUAAUGGAAUAAAUUCCACUCCAUAUCCCCACCGGGCCCUCCCCAAUCAUAUUUUCAUACCACCCAUACACUGAAAAUAACCCCACCGUCCCACCCACCAACCAACCUUCCAAUAAACUGAUCAAUCACGUCAAUACCGAAUCAUUAACGAAUGGCUUGUCUACAUGUGUUGGUCCACGUUCCCAUUUCCACACUUGAAUUAUUUAUUAAAUACCGAUAAAUAAAUGACCUUUUUUAAAUACUUAAUAUUUUUUAUUUGCUACCAUCCCAGAAAAUUCCAUUGUAGGUGAACAGAGUCUGAUCACAGUAGUUCUCCUGAGAGCUCUUGCAAAACUCACACUCGAGAGAAACUUGGGAACUAAUCUCGGAUGAGGGAUGAGGGAUGUUAUCAUGUUAGUUACCACCUUACCUUAAUAUGCCUGACGAUGAAUGAGUAGGGCCACCUUGAAGGUUCCACGUGACUUUCUUGGCAAACUAUAUACAUGUCUUUAAGCCUUUGAGUACUCAAACGGUUCCUCAAAGUUGGAAAUCUCGGCAGUGACCAGCCUUCUUUUAAAAUGUACUUGUGACUUGUAGAAAAACAAUAUGAUUGUUCUUUAAUAUAUAAUUUGCUGACCAGAACUGACCCAACAUAAGCCCGUUUAGUCUGAGGGUCAGUUGGGUGGAGCCCAUGAAUAAUAUGGGCUGCCCAACUCAAGCUUCUCUUGAAUGAACGCAAUAAGAUGGUUUGUAAUUUUUAAAUUGAGAACUACCUAAAAUUUGAGAUUUAUUUAGAAAAUCAAAUAAUAUCAAACAGAAUGUUCAAUUUUGAUUUUGCACUUAACAACUGUUUUUUUUUAAGUCAUUUCCAAUUUGAAUUGGAAAUUAAAAUUUAAUUUAAAAUUGAAAAAAUAAUUUUAUAAAGCAAACUUUUUUAUUAGCUCUUUUAAAUCUAACUAGGAAGUGUUUGCGUGUGAUGCACUUGAGGUCAUAUGAAAAAAAAUCCACUAAAAAUGAAUAAAUAUGUGUAUUCCUUUUAAAUCCUUUUAUGAAACUAAGAAAAUAUUUAAAGUCAAAUAAUUGAAUUAGACAUAAAAAGAAAUUAAAAAAAAUGAUUGGGUUGAAAUAUUAUGGAAUAUGAAUAAGGUUACACUUUUCCAUACCAAAAUUUUAGAUAGUAAAAUUAUUUUUAAGAUUGUUUUUUUUAAAUUAAGUAAAAUGAAUAUCGUAGUCUUUAACAAUGAUAUGUACCAAAAUUUAUUUAGACACAUUAUCCAUUGUUGAUUCAAAUUCAUUGUAAUUUUGACACAACAAAAUAUAUAACUUUUACUCGUACUAAAUUUAUGAAAAGACAAAAGAAACUCUUUAAGAAAUGUUUAAUCUAAUUUCAAUUGAAAAAACCAAUUUCAUUUUCUUUUCACUAAAACGUUUAAGUUAUAAAUAUUUGUCAAAAAAUAAUUUAAUUAAACAAAUUAAAAGUAUUUAUGAAAAUACUAAAUUUAUAAAAGAAGUAACAAACUUUGAUUCCAAUAAACAUUGGAUUAUAAAACAAAAAAUCAAGAUUCAUGAAGAAAAAAAAAUGUACACUUGAAUACUAAAUUGUAUUACCUUUCAAAUUUACCAAACACCUUAAAUUUCAAUCUUUCCCUAAUAAACAUGUAAACAAAAUCAUUAAGAACACCAAACGAUAGUAACAAUUGACUUAAUUGUGUUUCCAAAAAACCCAUUGAGUGCUAAAAUAAUAAAUAAAUAACAUACAUAAUAAAAAAAAUGCAAAGAAUUAGGAUGAUAUGAUAAAAACCAAAACGUAAAAAAUCUAAUAACCCAAAUGAUCAAUAACACAAGAGACACAACCCUAAUAAAUUAGAACACAAAUAGCUGAUUCAUAUAAAUACCAAAAAUGCGAGAAAUUACUCCUAUAACAAUUGUACCAUCAUUAAAAAAUAUAUAUUUAUUAUAGAUUUACUUAACCUGUUCUCUAAAACUUUUUGGAAUUAAAUCACAAUCAACAUUUUAAAUUGUUAAUUCUACAAAUACAAUUCAUUUUCUUUAAACAAACGAGGGAUAAACAAUAAUCUUUUUUCACUAAUAAGCAUAUUAUGAUUCUUUGGUUUCCAAAAUAAAAAAUGGCAUAUAUGAAUAUGGAGCAUCACCACUCUUUGACCAACCCUCCAGAUUAUUUUUGUGAAACUCAAUAACAAUAUAUUUAUCUAAUCUAAAUUUACAAAGAAAAUAUGGGUUCCAAGUAAAGACUGACAAUGACUUCACUAGAAAUUAUGACAACAAAUAUGUCACCCUUAUGCCCGUGAAAAUAUGGUCAUCGCUCUUGAAAUCACCAUACAAAUUGCUUGUUUUUUCUAAAAUGCUUCACCACCACCAUCAUUCUCAAUUUCACCUAAAACAUUGCAUUUCACCAAACCUUUGUUUUGUAUAUACUUUCAUUGAUCCAACCCUUCAAAAACCACGAUUAUAACUCCAAAUACAGUCUUGAAUUAAUUGUCAUUUAUAGCGGAGAGAAACGUUACAAUGACAAUUUUACAAAGAAAUCCUAAAGCUUGAAGAAAAUGUUGUUGUGACCAUGGAGAAGAGACAAAAUAGAAAAAGGUUACAUGGGUAUUGAAAAAAUGGGGCUUAGGCCCAUCCUCAAGAGUCAAAAGGAUUAUGGGUUUUAAAAAGAAUAACACCAAUUAAUAUUAAUAGGUUAUGAUAAAUACAUGUAAUAAAUAAAUUAAUAAGAGAAAUUUUUGGAAUUAAAAUGUAAGUUGUUUGACAUUUUUGGAAUGAAAAAUUUGACAAACACCUCACACUUUUUUAUAUUAGUGUUGAUUAUUGUACAAGUUUACUUCUACUUGUAACUUGGUCAUUUGAAUUGAAAAUUAUAUGGUAUUUAAGAUAUGAUUUGAGGGAGUUUAAUUGAAGUACAAUUGAGAUACUAGGUCUGCGUAUAAAUACCUCACCACUCCUCGUCACUUUUCAUAAAUCAUUUAAUAAUUUCUUCUUCCAACCUUUAUAAUUUUUGAAGUGGUCAAUUUCCAAAGAGAGCUUCUUCUUUUGAGGUGUAUACUUUUCUCUUUUUUUUUUUUCCACCUAUAAAUUUAUUCUUUGUCAUCACUUUUUUAAUAAAUUAGAUUUUCUUAAACCUAAAUUGGUUUUCCAAGAAUUGGUUUUGAAAAGUAGAUGAGUUGUUUCAACAUCUUGGAGGUUAAGGGAAAAUUAGGUAUUUAGUUUCAACAAAAAUCAAUUAAAACAAUGCAACAAGAAAGAAAGGCGUGAAGUGGUUACCGGAGGUUGAGAACUAGAAGAAUAGAUCAAUUUUGGCCUCAGCUUUAUAUUCAACGAUUGCAUCAUGGGGUAGCUACGCAACUGAAAUGAAGAAUUUUUUUAACUUAGCCCGCUCCAUGGACAAUGGUUUGAGUAAGAAAGCAGAGAAAUGAUUCCAUACUUUGACUCUUAAAAAAAAACAAACUUUUUUUUGACCUCCAUAUGUGUGACUUUGAUUUAAUUCUCACCAUCUCAAAAGAAUUUUCCCUUUUAGGGCCUAAGAGUAUACUGUGUUGAAUUUGAAUUACAAGGCCUUCUUUAGUUAAAUAUUUUUAGUUUAUAGUGUUGUAUUUGGAUCAUUUUAAGAAGUACUUAGAGUUUGUUUGGAAAUUGUUUUUUAUAUUUAAAAGUAUAUUUUGUAGAAUUUUUUAGAAAUUAUUAUGAUGUUUUUAAAAAUAUUUCUAGUUGUUUUAACUUAUUUUUUAGGGGUUAUUUUAUAAAAUAAUUAUAUAAAUAUGAAGAAAUUGAAAAUAAUUGGACCGACACUUCUUGUUUAGAUGUAAAUAAAAAAUAUAUUUUGGUUGUUUUUUUUAAUAUUGUAUCAUAUAAAAUAAUAAUUGUUUAAAAAAUAUUUCAAAUGAGUGUAUAAAUAUUUCAAAAAUAAAUAUUUUUUUUUAAAAUUUUUGUUGAUAAGAAAAAAAUUAAUAUAAGAAGGGGAAAAGUAUAUUUUCAUAUAUUGAUAUAAAAAAUUUAUAAAAGAGAAAUCAAGUUUAUAAAAUAUAAAUUUUAAGUAGUUAUUUAUUAAUAAUUAAUAUUUUAUUUUAUUUUAUCAAAUAUAUUAUUUUUUAAUCAUUCAUAUAUUACUUUUUAAUGAUAUAAAUAUUAGUUUUGAUCAUUCUAAAUACUACCUUUAACUCGUGAACGUAUAAAACUUGAAUUAUUUUUUAAUUAUUUUUAUAUAUUUUGUAAUUACUUUUACCAAUGAAAACAUAUAUUUUUUUUAUAAAUUUUUUGAUAUACUUUUAUUUAUAAAACAUUUUUCCUAAUUUUUUGAGGCCCCUCCAUUUAUUUAUUUAUCUCUCUCUGCAUGAAUUCUAAUCCCAAAGGAAUCAUUUGUCUUUUUAUAAAAUCCAUGCCACCCAACGCCUUUUUUAAUAGUUUAUAUUGUCUAAGAUUCUCAAUUCCAAGAGUAUUUAUUGAUUAACAUUUAUCAAAUAAUUUAUUUUGGUCUUACCCCUAUUCAUGACCCAUAAAUUACAACUAUUGGACCCGUUUGAAUAGCAAUUUAAGAAUUGAAAAUUUUCGAAGAUGAUGAAAUCAUUAUUAUUAUAUAAUUUAAUUGGGAUGGGAUAAUGUUGUACCAAUUCUCUAAUCUACUAGUCUAAACAUCUUCCCUAUAUUCCAAUGGGUCAAAGUUCAAUUUUUAUGACCACUGACAAAUGGGUCGGACCCAGUCAACCUAGAACCCUAAAUGAUUCGUUGACUUCUACAUUUUGGCCCAAUAGUCAGGCCGCCUGCUUACACACCAUUGGUGGGCCUUGGUCCGCCGUCCAAAACGCGUUUACGGCCCAAGUUUUUUCCCCUCAAAGGAAGAAAAGUCAAAACGGGAAACGAAAUAAAACGGCAGAGUACAGUACCCAAUUUGAAACCACGGUGACGAACCAAUAGUGGCCAUCUUUGUUUGGUUUAAUUGAUCUGUCGCGGAAAGUUUCCAUCACCUGCAGUGAGUUUAGCCUUUCAGAAGGUUCCAAGAAAAAUUGAAAACAAAAGGACACAGAUGGAAAAUAAAAGUCCAAGUUAAUUGUCAUCUAAAAAGGAAAAGAGAGUGCCCCAAACCAACCAUAAAACAAAUCAACCAAAAAAAAAAGAAAAAAAAUUAAAAGGGUCUGCUCUCACAAAAUGUCUUUCCCCAUUGAUAUAUAGUUUGGCCACAUAUACUCAUCGGGUUGAUUCUAUUUGUAUAGCGUGGGUUUGACAGGUAAGCUUCCUUAAGAUCCUUCCUGACCAUAGUCUUCAGGAUUUCCCUUCUGAUUCUUCUUUUUCUUUUUGAUCGAACUUGGGGUUCUAGGGGUUUUUUUUUCUCCUCUUACAGGAUCAAAAUCUGCCAAUUGGGUAUUCCGAGUUCCUUUGCUUUUGAUUACUUUUUUUUUUUUUUUUUAUGAUUCUUGGGGUUGUUGGGUUGGAAUUCUUGUGGGGUUUUUGUUCGAUUGGAGAUGUUUGCAUCUAUUUGUUUCUAAUUUGUUAUUGUUGUUUUCCCAAUGAUUUUACUUUUGCCAUUUCUUGUAAAAAUUCUGCUGGAUUGGGGUUUUAUUGCUGACUUUUUUGAGGCUAUGUUUGUUUGGGCUGAAUUGGGUUGAUUUGGCAUUUCAGUUCUGGAAAUUGAAAAUUCUUGUUUUUAUCGAGGUUUGGUCAAUGGGAUUCCAGUUUUGUUUCAAACCAAUUGGUCUUCAAAGCAAUCGAGCGGUUGAAUUCGAAAUGGGAUUCCUAUUCACAUUUCAAGCCCCAACUCCAUGAAACCUUUUUGGGUUGAUGAGCUUGUGACAAUUAAUUGGGUUAUUUUAGGGUAGUAAUUUGAGAAAGUUGACUAGUAAUAAUCCGCUAACUGGUCCUUAAUAUUGAUAUUGUUUUUUUGUUUUUGGGAUAUUUUAUUUUUCAGUUCUUAUCACUGAAUUAUUUGGGAUUGAUUUUGUGGUGUGGUUGUGCUUUUAGGAAAAUCAACAGUGGGGGCUUUAGGAAAAGGGGCAGAUAGAGAUGGCUAAUAAUGCAGCAGCAUGUGUUGAAAGGGCAACGAGUGAUAUGUUGAUUGGUCCAGACUGGGCAAUAAACAUCGAGCUAUGUGAUAUCAUUAACAUGGAUCCUGGGUAUCAUACUUUUGCUUUACCAGCUAUUUUUUAUUUAUUUAUUUUUAAAUAGUGCGGGUUAAAUAGUUGGGAAUUCCUUUAAAUAUUAGUUUUGUUAGUAUAAUUGAGUAUUCUUUUGGACUGAAUUGCCUGCUUUACAGUUGACAAUGCUUACAAGUUUCAGGGGGACUUUUUAUGAAUAGUUUGACUGUGCUGCACAUGCUAGAUGGGAUUUGUCAGCCAUAAUAGACUUUGUAAAAAUUAAAAUGAUGUAAAUCAAAGCAACCGAUUUCUAGUUUUUCCCAACAAGUUUCUAGUUGUACAUGUACAUAACGGUCAAUGUCCUGCUUGCAUAUCCGUGCUAACAACACUGCAAAUCAUCACUCUGAGGUUCAUCCAAGGAUGCCAUCCCUCUUUGUCCUCAGAUAUUGAGUCCUUUCACUUUAAUUGUGUAAUCUGUUCUAGUUAUUGUUAACUCUCUUAACUUUUUCCUCAUAUGGAUGAAUUAAUUUCUUAAAUCAUUAGACAUUCAUCAGAAUCAAUGUCGUUUGUUAUAUUCUAGCAUUGACUACAUUCAUUCACCUGAUUAUUUCUAAGCUAAUGAUAGCCAACAAAUGUGUUUCGGGGUCCCAAAUUUGUAACAUCUUGCUCUCAUGCUUUCUUAAUCAUGAUGGAUAUGUUUCUGCUGCCUUAAAUAGUAUAUCAAUGGUCUGUAACCACCACAGUUUAAGAAUUUGAAUUUGGAUCGUUAAAUGGCUCUUCAUAACCUGGUUUCUGAAGUUGCCAUCUUCUGGUGAGUGGAUUUGUAUUUUUUCAUAUCAAUCAUAAAUUAAAACAGUACAAUAGCUAGUUGUGCAUUUGUAUCUUUUAUGAGAAUCUUAACCUUAAACAGCAGAAUAGCCAGUUAUUUGCUGACAUUGAUGUCAGAUUUACAAUUUCAUGAUAAGGUAGUUGCCAAUAUUUUUUUUAGUUGAAUUUAUGAACAUCGUGUGGUGCUCAUUCUUUUGAAUGAUAUACUGAAACCAAGAGUAUACGCAUUAUACAUUAGUCAGGUUUCAAGGUCUGCAGAAACUGCAGUGGUCCUCAAAUCAUUGUUUUUGUUUCAGAGGGCAAAUAUGCUAUUGAUUGAUUUAUCGAAAAAUUGCUCACACACUUCCAAUUUUAACAUAUAUAGAGGCAUAUCCGGCAGCCGGUGGCUGGCCAAUUGUGGCUACAGUCUGAAACAUGAAGGAAUCGGUUUGUCAGUUGGACCAUUGGUUGGAGGAGUUAGGGACACUUGUCUCUGAUGAUUUUGUAGCCUUUUGUUGCUAAAGGCAUUUAACCCUCUCCACAAGCCUAUAUAUCAGGAAGCUGAGUGGCUGGCCAAUCAUGGUUAUAAUCUGAAACAUGAAGGAAUUGGUUUGUCGGUUAGACCUUCAGUCAGAGGAGUUAGGGACACUUGUCUCUGAUGAUUCUUAGCUUGCUGUUUCUGAAGGCAUUUAACCCUCUCCAGAAGCCUUUCAUCUUUUAUUUGUUAAUCACCUGUGGUUGUUUCAAGUGUUUGUGUUCAUUUUUGGUACUGGAAGUAACAUGUUUUGGAUUCUAUUUUUCUAAAGGUCUCACUCCUAUUUUGUUUCCCCUCCAUCUCAACUGCAUUGUAUUGAUUUCAAUACUUUAUGUUCUCCUUGUCCAUGAAUUGGAUUGAAAUUGCAGGCAAGCAAAGGAUGCCCUGAAGAUACUCAAGAAGCGCCUGGGGAGUAAAAAUCCUAAGAUACAACUUCUUGCUCUGUUUGUGAGUAUUUCUCUUUUCUUCUACACUCCCUAGAUAUGGAUGUUGUUCUUGUUCUUAUUAAUCAUGAUUGUAUAAUAAAACAUAUUAUAAUAGCACUUGAUUUUUCAAUAUGCAUGUUUUUCUUAUAACUUGUGAGGUUUGCUCAAUGUUAACAUAUUAAAUGGUGUAUAUGACAAGACUCUAGUUGGUCAUCAUGUCUUAAAAGAAGUCAUGGAAAAUAGAGAGGACAAUAAAAUUGAUAGUAAAUGAAAACAUAAUUUUGGAAUUUUAUCAUACAACUUCCUUAUUUUGUAUUCUAAUUGUAAUACAAUUCUACUCAUACUAACUUGGGUUGUCAUCACACUUCUUCCACUCCUUUUGUUCUGUUGAUGUCUAACCACCUAUAUAAUGUGUUAAAAUGUUGAAUAUAACUAGAAUCCUUAUUUUUUAAGUGUGUUUACAGUAAAAAUGGUUGGAAUCCUUACAUCUAGUAAGGUAUUAAGCAGGUGACAGGUCUGAAGAUGCAUUAUAAGGAACUUCUAUUAGCCAAAUACGUAAUCACUCUUUUGGAUAGGUUGGAUAUUAAAAUUAGUUUUGCAUCAUUCCCUCAUUUCAAGCCCACACAAGAUGAACCUUCUGACUACUAAUCGUAUAACAUUGCAAUAGCAUAACAACCAUCUAACAUUAUUUUCUGACACAUUUAAAGCAUUAUUCUUUUAAUAAACCAUCUUAAUGUUCACUAUUGAGCACGAGAGUUGAUUUAUGUUACCAGUGAUCGGUUGGUGAAUAUGUGCUUAACAUAACAAUGUUUUCAUCUCUGACAUGCUUACUACAGAAAUGAUGUUUUCUUCAUGCAUGAGAGUUGAUUUAUAUUUCUUCAUGCUGAAACUGCAUUAUGCUAACCAUUCAAAAAUAGCAGAGAACAUCAAGCUCUGCCUCUGAUAAUUGAGCUUCCUUAAAUAGUUUGGGAUCCAUAUGAGUAAGUAUAAGGGCAUAGCAUGUUGAGAACACACUCAAGCCACAAUUCAGACAAUCUAUGCAAUUGUUUAUCAGUAACAAGCAUCAAAGGAAGUUUAAGUAAGCAUGACAUCAAACACGACUUUAUAGGCAAAUUAAGAAUUCCUGAGCCAAGAGGGGGUGCAACCUAGAUACACUAGAAGAUGUAAGUAACACUAUUAACAAAAGAAAUAUAGAAAAAAAAUUAAUAACAGAUAACCUUUACUCCUAUGAUUAAUAAAUAUAAGAAAGAUAAAAUUAGUGACCUCUAGAGGGAUCCUCACCCAAGCAAACAUAAGUUUAAGAGGAAAAACUUUAUAGUCCAUAUCUGAGCAUUACACACCAUUGAAAGUUUUCAGCUCUUCCUGAACUCACCAAAACAAGCUCAAAGGGAUACACUUCCCACUUUCUUGACAUAAUUGCUAUGCUUGUUUGGCAAACGACACCCCUUUGCUUGUUUUGGUGCAUUUGGAAAGAGUGAAAUCACAGAAUCUUAAGGGAGAAGAAUUUGCAGAUCAGAGUUUAAAGGAGAGUUCCAUUAAUUCCCUUGGUCGAAAUCUUCGUUAGAUGCGGGAAACUUGUCAUUGUUGACCUUCAUAGAUAGCCUUAGCUGCAGAUAGCUUGGUUUGAGGCUGAUUAUUUUGUAGAUACAAAUUGGUAUUUUUUAUUUUGUUUUUUGUGUAUACUUCCUAUAUACUUAGGGUGCGCCCCCUUUUAUUGGCGCUAUUCCAAUAUAUUCUUUGAUUGCUUAUAAAUAAUCUAGGCAUGGUGUCCUUAGGGAAAAAUCAAAGAAAUGCCAAAAAUAGAAAAGAAGAAAGACCACAAACUUGACAAGAACCCUGCUCCUCAUAAAUUAAUUAGUUGUAAGAAUUCUCUCUCACAUUGCUUUCCAAACAAAGAAAGCGAUCUUGGAGCACAAAUAUUAAUAUCAACACCUGUUAAAAGAUAUUUGUCAAUGUGUUGCUUCAUUUGCUGUCUUGCUUUUCAUGAUACUUACUUAACUCAUGCCAAACCUUUGAGAAGUCAUACUUGACCUGUAAAUCAUCCAGAUGCUUUUAGGUUUACACCUUAAGAAGGGUUCGUCUUUACUCUUAAGUAGGCUCUCUUAAGUAGGCUCAUGCUUCUAGGUGCCAGGCACUCAUGAAGCAAAUUCCUCAUUUCUUGAGGUUCACCUUGUGUCUAAAAUGGGACUUGAGAAUGGCAAGGUAGUUGCUUUGCAUCUAUGACGGCUUACAUUGGGUUUAGUUAAACAGAGAUUUAGGGACCAAUACAUCUAGUUGCAUUCAUUCUACUUAUAAAGGCUAUUUUCCUUUGCACUUAAGUUGUCACUCCCAGGCCUAUUUAUUGUUCUUUUUUACAUGAACUGUUUCUUUCCCUCCUUCAUAGGCCCCUUUUGGUGUGUCAUUCAGAGGCCAGAUUUAGCCCUAUUUGAGAAACAAGGAUUUAUCAUGCAAAAUAAAUAAAAGAAAAAAAGUUUAAAGGGAAUUUAAAAGUAUUAGCCUUGUAUGCAUUCUUACUUGCUUCUUGUCAACUGUUUGUUGUAAUUCACUUAGUUGAUGAAACGAUGACUGAACCCAUGUUAUGCAUGGCUUUCAUGAUUUUUGUAAUUGUGGACUUCAUGAACAUCUCAAUAUGGUCCUUAAAUUUUGAAGAAAACAUUGUACUGAAAAUAAAUCUAAGAACUGUGUAAAAUACUUAAUCUAAGAAUUGUCUGAGAAUUGUGUAAAAUUUUUAAAAUGUACUGCAUCAAAGUUGGCCUUAUGGUUUUCUCUCUGUUCUAGCUUUCUUGUUGCUAAGACCAAAUCAAUUGUACUGACAAUAGCUGGAUUAUUGUCUGUUUUCAUGUUGUUUUUUCCCCUUGUUUUUGACUUUUUAGCAUUUCAAUUGUACAUAUUCCAUGUUGUUAUCUUACCAUUUGCAGAUACAGAGAAUAAUUGCUGUCUUAAGUUGUUCUAUUUUGGAAUUUUCUAAUAUAGGUAUUGGAGACUCUCAGCAAAAAUUGCGGGGAGAAUGUGUUUCAGCAGAUUGUUGAGCGUGAUAUCUUACAUGAGAUGGUCAAAAUAGUAAAGAAGAAGGUGCCUAAUUUCAUCCUGGCUUGUUUUAUGUAUAUAUAUAUAUAUCAUGGCUUGUUGUUUUCAUUCUCAUAUUAGUUUAUUUUUAUCUAUGUUCAAAUCUGCAGCCAGACUUGAAUGUAAGGGAAAAGAUUCUAAUUUUGAUAGAUACGUGGCAAGAAGCUUUUGGGGGACCUAGGGGAAGAUAUCCCCAAUACUAUGCUGCAUAUAAUGAACUGACGGUAAUUUCUUUGAUUAUCUUACUUUUUUUCCUCUUGUUUAGUUAACAUCUGUUUCUAUUGAGAACUACUCUACAAUAAUAUUUCUAUGUUUGGAAGGGAGUCAUCCAUUUGUUGUACCUGAAGGUAAAACACAAAUACUGGGGAAAUAAAUGAAGAUAAUGCAUAAUGCUCACUGUAUGUGUGCAAUGUGGUUGUAUAGUUUUGAAUUUGGUGGGUAAGUUCUGUUGGCUGUUGUGGCACAGUGCUGGGUCUUUCAGGUUAAAUCUCCCUGUUGGUGUGUGUGUGUGUGUUGUGUGUAGAGUCGUCUGGUUUUAUUCUAUUUCAGGUUGGUGUUGCAGAUAGUAUUUCAAUCGAUGAAACAAAUCCCAUUCAGUUGUAAUGUUGGAUAAAGUUCACUGAUUCUUGUUCUGGUUCUAUGACUAUUUACAGAUGGCAAUAAGGAGUGUGAUUUGAUACUCAACGAUUAAGUUACUAGUUUGUAUAGGACAUUCUGAUUAAUCUUUUCUGACAAUAUAAACAUGUGUCUGUUGUAUUAAUAAAGGAAGUGAUGAAAUGCUGACUGGGUAAUGAAAUCUUACUAGGGUUCCUGACUCAUUGCCUUGUCCUUCGCUAUGAGCCAGGCAUUCUUAAUUGUGUUAUUGCAAAAUCCUUUUGGCAUUUAAUUUUUUUGGCUGGUCCACUUUUUAUGUCUUCGGAUUCUAUUUUAAUAAGUUAUCUCUGAACUUGCAUAUGUUUUCUUUUGACAGUGUCACUCACUGCAAGUUCUGUCAAUUUGCAUUCAUAGUGUGGUAUUUCAGUACAUUUCUUCUCUUUUUAUGGCUCAGAUGGUUAAGCGCGUCUUGGGUUGUGCUCCUGACCUGGAUUCUAGUUUUUCAUGGAGCUUUAACACUACCUUCACCUGCCUUCAUGUGUGGUUCAUAAAAAUAAAAAAAUAAAAAAGAAAGAGAGAGAACCAUGAUGGACAUUUAUAUCCUGGGUCUUGAAUGGCUAUUCCAAUUUCUAAUUUUUUUUUGAUGAAAUUUCUUAACUGCUAUAUUCAUGCAAUACAUAUUUAUUCCAAAAAAUUAUUGGACAACACGUAUGUUACUGUAUGUUCUCUAUGAUUUUUUGGAAAUGAAAUUUGAUUACCUAGUCUGAUAAUUGACAGUCGGCUGGAGUAGAAUUUCCACCCCGAGCAGAGAACAGUGUCCCAUUGUUUACUCCACCCCAAACCCAGCCAAUAAUUCACCCUACUUCAGUCUACGAUGAUGCAGCUGUUCAAGCCUCUCUUCAGUCUGAUUCUUCUGGCCUCAGGUACUGUUAUGAAAAAUGUUGUGUAUCCUAUUUGUUUCCUGCCCUGCUCAGAAAUGUUCUUCCAGCUUCAAGUACUCACAUUUAGUUGGCUUCCCCUUCAUAUGUUUCUCUAUGGGCUCCCUUUAAAUGAUGCAUGUUCUCUUUUGCUGUUAUUUUGUGUGUUCUAUAUGCUUGCUCUACCCCUAGCAAAUGUAAAUUCAAUGGUCAAUCAAUAUAUAAGUGUCACCAAACCAAAUUUCAAUUUUUUAAUGCAGCUUGCUAGAGAUGCAAAAUGCUCAGGGACUCGCAGAUGUAUUAAUGGAAAUGCUUGGUGCUGUGGAUCCACGGAAGCCAGAGGUAGUUAUUUUGUCUUCUGUCCCAUUUAAAGGAUCAUGAAACAGCUUCAUGUAGCCAGUUCCAUUCUGAACUUAGACAAGUUGCUUGCACCAUAUGGCUUUAAAGAAAAUAAGAAAAAUGAACAGGUAUUAAGAAGAAAAUAUGAAACAUGAAACAUGAAACAUGUAUUCAGAAGAAUGGACAGAAUAGAAGUCGAAGAACUCCUUACCUAAACCUUUAUAGACCAUGACAUAUGGAUUUUGAAAAUGCUAGUUUAGACAUGUUUCAAACCUCUCCUCUUAUUGGAGUCUUAUUUCUCCAAGAUAAAAUUUAUUUAGCCUAGUGAUUAAUUACAUUGAAUUCUUUCUUCAUAUCUUGGCAGAGUGUGAAGGACGAAGUGAUUGUUGACCUUGUUGACCAGUGCCGCAAUUACCAAAAGCGUGUCAUGCUUCUUGUGAAUGAUACUGUGUACGAUUUUACUCUUUUUUUUCUUUCUUUCUUUUUUUUUCUUUUCCCUUUGCAGUCUUUCUUUAUUUUGAACUUGAAUUGAUGAUACUGAUAAGGUGGUUGCUUUUCUUUAGAGAUGAGGAACUUCUAUGUCAGGGAUUGGCAUUGAAUGAUAACUUGCAGCGUGUGUUGCGCAAGCAUGAUGAUAUAGCUAAAGGUGCUCCUGCUGUGGCAGUAGGAACAACAGAAUCUUCUGCUCCUGUACUUGUGAACGUGACUCAUGAGGAUGAUGAAUCAGAAGAUGAUUUUGCCCAGUUAGCCCACAGGUGACUGUUAUUUUAUUAGAUUUAAUUUUUCUCUUCCUUUCAAUUUUUCAUUGUAUUCUCUUCCAUUGGCUUAUCAUUUUUUAUUUCCACUAAGCUUACAAUUUAUGUAUGUAUGACUAUUGUCACGGACUUAGUCGUUCACUAAGCUCGUAUGACACUUAGGCAAGUCAAGACGCUUGAUCUUACUAAGUCAGCCUUGCUCCCCCAAUGCUUAGCUUGCUCGGCUAAGACACUCGCGACUCGAAAACUUAAGAAGCUUAGUAGGCAACUCCUUAAAGAAUGGAAGCUCUUUAUUACUCAAAGAAGCCUUUACAAGUGCUUGAAAGCUCACUUGCUUGGUGUCUUGGCCAAAUGAGGCCCUCACCUAUUUAUAGGCACCAAGGGAACUCUCUGGAACCUUGGAGGGUUUCUUACAAUUCAAGUAUAUUCUAGAAUGUCCUACAUCAUUCUAGGUACAAGCCUAUGUACAAGUAUAUACAAGAGACUUCUGGAAUUCUCUAGAAAGCCCUAGACUCCUCUCAUGCCUUCUACCAUAGUGUAGAAUUGUGUGAAUUCCUCCAGGCUUCUCUAGAACCUUCCACACUCUUCCCACUCUAGGAGUCUCCAGAGGCUUCCUGACUCUAUAUAAGGCCAUGAGGAGGCUUAUUUGAAUCAGCUUGUGACACUAUGGUCACAUUUACUACAUGCGAAUAAAUGACUGCAGUGUAGCUCUUGAGUUUCUGAAUUUUGCAUUCUCUGAUCACCAUUGAAUUACUUUAUCAAGGAAGUAUAGGGGAGGUUUUGUCUGUGAAAUUCAAUUGUUGUUAUGACACAAUUUGAUGAUAUGAAGAUUUGGCACUUCUGCCAGAAUCAUCCUGAAGAACAAAUGUUUUUAAAUCAUCAAACAAAAUGGAUUUUCAUCUGACCUUGCUUGCAUAUAAAAUUUGGGUUGUCUUGUUGAAAGGUGGGUGUUUCUAGUAUAUGAUAUUACCAGUAUUCCCCUUUUAUACUAAUUUUGUAAUUUUGUAAAAUGAAAUAAUAGUGAUCCUGCUUUUCUGGAUUACAUUAUUGGGCAAUCAGUAGACAUUUCAAGUAUAUAAGGUUUUGAAGACUGGAAAAGGUAAAAGCAGAAGAUAGGCAUUCUUGGGGGCCUAGUAUUUCAUUGGAUGAUAUUGAGAGUGUAUAUUGUUUUGGUAUGUAACAUGCUAACAUGAAGACCUAAGUGUGAGGAAGUGCUUGGUAAAGGUUGAAGUAUUCUAUAUUGAUGAGGACAAAUCCAUCUAGAACGUGCUGAAUACAUCAGUGAUGGUGAUAAACCUGACAUUUAUCACGACUGCAUUUCUGAAUGAUAGUUUAUACAUUCAAAGGUUAGGUUAGUGACAGUGGAGUUACAGUUAAUUUCCAUGGGUAUCUGAGCUGCCCAAAAUAUCUGAAGAUGCAUGUUUUAACAGAAGAUACAACCUUGGUGCAGCUGGCUGAAUGGGAUAUUGAUGGCUGAAUUAAUUUCUCUUGAGCAUUCACAGGAUUAAACUUACACUCAAAAAUAAAAUAUGAAAUCAGUUACUUAGAUCAGAAGUGUUUCUAAACAUGAAUGAAUAUAAAGCAUGUUUACAUUAUUAGAGAAUUGAUCCAUCUGUUUCGAACACAACAUUCAUCAGUCUUUAUUACUUAGUUUCCUGUUAUUCUAGGAUUUCAUGAACUUUGAACUUCAGCUUAGUCAUUCCUGAAAUGGAAUUUAUUUUUUGAAGUUUAUGUCAAUUCAAGUUUGAAACCUGGCUCACUUCAAAAGUUAUGAUGGAUUCAUGGAAUCUGAUGGGAUUGGAAAACCAUGUAAUAGAAAAGCAUUAAGGUUUCUAGACCUUAUCACUCAAGAAACACAAAAAUAUUUGAAAAUGAAUGAAUGUUUAAACUGUUGUAUAUUGAAUCCACUGUUUUCUCAACUUUAAUGGUGAUCUUCAAAUUGUGCUACUGCUACAAAUAAGGGGAUGCUUUUUUAUCUCAUCAUGUUUGAUAAAUUUGCAGUUCUUCGAGUAUCUUGUCACGUUUGACAAAUUCACAGGUCUAAUGUCUCUCUCUCUCUCUCUCCCCCUGUGUCUCUCUUACUAACAAGUUCAUGUGAUGAUGUUAUUACAGGUCACAGGGCAGGAAAUCAGCCAAUGCAAAGCCUGAACCACUGCGAGUCAGCCCACUUAUUCCUCCUCCGCCCUCAUCAAAGAAGCCAACUAGUGCAGAUUCCAGCAUGAUUGAUUAUCUCAGUGGUGAUGUCUAUAAGUCUAAGCCUGAAAGAUCCCCUGAAACAUCAGAACCCACGCCCUAUGCUGUCCCAUCGCAUUCUAACAGUACAAACUCCACCUCUCCAUGGACGCCAGCAUUAUCUUCCUCAUCCCCCCCCUCUCAUUUCAUAAAUCCUACUGCAUCACCCAUGUUCACUGCACAUCCCGUGUAUGAUGAACCAGCUCCAAUGUCAAAAUCUGCCGAUCCACUACCCUCUGCUCCUUGGGAUGCCCCCUCUCCGAACAGCAUUCCCCCCCCACCUUCCAAGUAUAACCAGAGACAACAGUUCUUUGAGCAACAACAUGCUUCUCUGGGAAGCCCAUAUUCAAGUAGUGGAUCCUCCUCUGACAGUUUAGUGGGACAGACCCAGAAUCUGUCAAUUAACUCCUCGUCCACCACGAAACAAGUGAAGCAGGAGGAUGCCCUGUUCAAAGAUCUGGUUGAUUUUGCAAAAGCCAAGUCUUCUUCAUCAUCCAAGCCCAAUAGAUCAUUUUGAGUGGGCGGUUUGUGUGGCGAGCAUGGAUUAUAUAUGGUGGUACAGUUUUAUGAAUACUGUUAGUUCCUCCGGAUUUACAUCAGAUCAUGAGACUAGUUGUUAUUGAAUAAACAUGGAUGGGGAAUUUGGUUUUAGGGUUUGCCCAUGCUGCUUAGCACUCUGCAGGUUACCUUUCGAGAUUUGGGACAUAUUUCUGUUCAUCUUCCACCAUUCAUUUGCUUGUGGCGCUGAGCCUGAGAGGAGUUGUUGGUGAACCCCAUAUUGGUAUAAAUAGGAGUUUAUGGGUGUAUUAUAUGUGUUGUGUUUGAUUAUUAAAUAGCGCCUGGUUGAGGUUUCUGUUUGAAUUGUUGGACCUUCCUUUCAUUAUUUUCACCUUUUCUUUUCUUUUCUUUUCCUUUCCUUUCUUUUCUUUUCUUUUCUUUUCUUUUCUUCACCAGAUUUGUAUUUCUCUCUAUCAAACCUAUAUUUACCUUUAGUUAGGAACUUAGGAGACGAAUCAGUUGUGUAUUUUCAGACAUUAUAUUUUAUAUUUCAUAUUCACACCUUUUAAAAAUAUAAUGUUUGUAAAUAUGCAACUUGGAAUAGAAGGAACAUGUUGAAAAUUGUGUUGAAUUUAUGUAGCUAAAAUAUGUUUGGUGUCAUCUUAGGAUAAUGCAAUUAUUAAAGUAUGAAAAUGAUUUAUUUUACAAAUUUUAUUUUAUAUUCAUGAAGCCACAUAUUUUAAAUAUUAUAUGCAUGAUAUCUUAAUUAAUAAAAGUAUCAAUUAAUAUAAAAUAUUAUAUGCAUGGUAUUUUAAAAAUAAUUAAAAUAAAUUAGUUGUAACAAAAAUAAAAAUCUUAAAUAAUUCAAGAAACUAAGGAAAAAAAAGUUUAAAAUCAAUUAUUAAGGUAUUUGGAUGCACUCUUUUUUGUUUAAAAAUAGCAAUAUUUUAAAAAUCGGAAUGGUUAUUAAAUUUAUGGCUUAUUGCUUUAUGGUUCUUAUUGCUCAAUGGUUGAUCCGAUGAUUGAACCAAUGAUGUCAUAAAUAUAUUAUUUAUAUUUUAUUAAAAUUAAAAAUUAUUUUAAUAAAUAUAUAUAUAAAGUUAUUUUAUGUUAUAUUGAAUUUUUAAAAUAAUAUACAUAUUUUACUUUUUACUUUUACCAUUUUUAGCAAAUUCAAAUAAACCAAACCAGGUUUGAACUAAAUCAGAUCAAGGUGUAGUCAAUGGUUUGAUCAGCUGAUCUGAUUUUUUAAAACAUUGAAAAGUAGUAAUAAUUAUAAUUUUUAUAAAAAUAUGAUGAUUUUUCUUUUUUAUAAGAAUUACUAUAUUUUAUAUAAAAAAAUUAUUAUUAUUUCCUAUUUUUAAAAAUAAAAAAAAUAAAAAGCAUUUUCAAACUAACAUAAAUCAUUGUUUUUUUACAAAUUACUUAUGAAAAUUAAAUAUAUAAAUCUAAUUAAAAAUUGUAUUUCAAUCUCUUCAAAUUUUUCAUUAUUGUUGCAAUCAAUAAAAAUGUUAUUAAUAAUUGUUUUGUAUUGGAAAAAGAUGCCGAGCGGUCUUUAAAAUGGAAAUUUAUGAUUUUAAAACCCCAAAAGGUAAUGUAAUGAUGCAAUCACGUUCACAAUGGUUUAUUUGCAUACUAAUAGAAAAAAAAAUAGAAAAAAAAAGAUGAAAAGUUCUUUUAUGGUGCAUUACCCUUUUUUUUUUUCCUUCUGGCAAUAUAAAUAAGAAAUUUUCAAAGCCCUCUGGUGUUUAAAGUAGUUCUUACCAAUCAAUUAAUUAAAUCCUAUUUAUAAUUUUAAUUUUAUAGUAUUAAACAAUUAACCACAAAAGGUUUCAUUUAGAAGAAAUUCAAUUUCAACUCAAAAUGGAAUCCAUAUGCUUGUUAUAAAUUACAAUAGAGUUUUUUAUAUUGAAAUUUUAAAUUUUAUUAUAUUAAAUAACUAAUAAUAAAAGGGUUUUAAUUUAAAAUAAGUUUUUAGUACUAAAAAUCAUUAUUAAAUUAUUUAUUUAAUAAAAAGAAAAAAAAUAACUUAUAAAAUUUUAAAAUUCAUUGAUGGUGUUAACUUAGUAGUUUGUACUAAACAAAUCAACUAUUUUUGGAUAAUUUUUAAUUUUAAGUGGUUUAAAUUUUGUAUUAUCAAACAUAUUUCAAAAAUAUGGUCCAUUUAUCUUUUUUUUUUUUAAUUAAUUGGUUAAAAUGAUGAAACAAUCCUCAUAUUUGUAAAUUUAAGAUUUUUCAUAUUUUUAUUUGAAAAGUAACUCAUUUUUUAUAUAAAUGUCUUUAACUAUUUUAAGUAUUUAUAUGUAAGUUUUGAAAGAAAUUGUUAUCUUUAAGAGAAAAUAAUGAAGACAUUUUUGUCAAAAUAUUGUCAAAAAAUAAUAAAUAAUUAGAUUUUCAAAAUUGAGUUUUGAAAUGCCCUUUUAACCAAGUAACCCAUUUUUUAUUUUUUAUUUUCACUUUUUAGGUAUUGACUCUUUGAAUGAUCAAAGAAUUGAUGAGUCUUACAAUAACAGUAAUAAAAAUAAUUGUCUUUUGAUUUAGGAUUGGAUGAUGACUUUUGAUAUGAUAAUAAAAAUUGUCUUUUCAACACUGUAGAAACCUAACAAAUUUUCAUCAUAUGCAAGUUAUUUAUCAAAUCAUAGAUUUCAAAUUAAACUUUUUUUAAGUGAAAGGUAUUGGAAUCAUCCUUAAAGAAGUUGCUAAGUAAUUAAACUUUUUCUUGUCAACACUUAACUCAAAUUUAUCUUUUGUUUGAUACAUUCCCAUGUUAAUUAUUUAGAACUUCUAAGGACUUUGUCCUUUUCAAUGAUUUUUUUUAUUUAUAUGUGUGCUGCUUAAUUUAUUUAAAAUAAGGGCAUCUUAUUAUGUACUUUUGGACAAGAAAAUUCCAACCAUAUGUAUAUUAGGAUAAGAUUCUUUUCAACUUUAUGAAAAUUGCACCUUUUUAUUUUUUUUUUACCUUUUUCUUAAAAGAAAGAAUCAUUAAUUCAAAUUACUAAAUAAAUUAGCAUGCAUUGGGACAAGCCACAUUAGGACGUGUUUGGUGAUUAUUUUCAAAAAUAGUUUUUAAAAACUAUUUUAUAAUAUUUUAUUAAAUAAAAUUUUAACUUAUUUUUAAUAUUUUUAAAUAUAUUUUAAAAGUAAUUUUUAUAUCUAUUAUUUUAUUUGUGAGCAUUUUACAUGAUUGUAUAAUUAUUUUUUUAAAUAAUUUUUACAAAAUAAGUGAAAACAAUAAAAAAUAAUUAAAAGAUAUUUUGUGAAAAUACCAUAUUUUUCAUUUUAAGAGGGAAAACAGUUUUUAGUUGUUAAAUGUGUUUACUUGAUUUUUUAUUUUGAAAAAUAAAAAAUUAUUAUGGAAAGAGGUGUCAAACAUACCCUUACCAUCGAAUCCUUGUUUUAGCUCCAAUCUUAAAGCUAGAAUUUUCAGAUAGAUUUGAAAGAAUGGGUGACUAAUUUAUAAAAUCAUAUGAUUGCAUCAGGGAAAGAACUAGAAAAAGGAGAAAAAAUGGAAAGAAUUUAAAUUUUUUUAUUUAACUUAUAGAAAAUAUUUAAAAUUUAAAAUUUUCAAAUGUUCAUUGUUUAUGCAGAAUAGGUAUAAAAAUCUAGUAAGAGAAUAACAAGUGUAUUAAAAUUGAACUUUUUUCUUUUUAAUUUUUUUCUGUUUUUCCUCUCAUUUAUUCUUGGUUUCUCUCCCUCCAACAAACUUCUGCAACCCAAACGAAGCCGAAAGAUCUACACCAUGGGAACAACAGUAUAUAUCAGCAGAAAGACACAACAAAGAAAAUAACAGAAGAUGAAACUAAGAAGUAUUUUCAUUCAUAAGCUGAGAUCAAAAGAUAUCAUGGAACACCUUCCCAGAUUAAUUAUGCAAUGAUACAUGACCAUCUCCAACCCCCACAUAAUUCAUUUAUUUACAUACUUCAUGUCAUAGUGGAAGACGAAGAAGAAGAAGAAGAGACCUCUUGUGAGGAUUACUUAAUUAGCUAGCUAGCCAGCAGACAUGGAAAUCAAACAGCAGCUCCAACAUUCUUCAGACCAACUUAUAAAAGCAAGAGAGAAAUGAGAAUGCACUUAUAGUAUCAUUAAGCAUGCAAAUAGAUAUUUAUAUAUAUGAAGAUGACUGACUGUGGGUGGAGUUGGUGAGAAAAUAAUGAAUGAAACUCUGCGUCCCCAUCUUCAAUUGUUUGUACAACAGGGCCAGUAUCCUCCUCUUGAUGCCUCCCCUAACCGGAACUAUGGCCCUAUGGUCGCCGGUCGCAGCUGCGGCCAGCCCAAUUCGCAGCACCGUCAUCGGUGUCUUCUCAACCUCCAUCAUCAUGAUCUUCUUCAUCAUGAUAUAUGUAUAUGUCACUCCACCGUCCACACCAACCAACCUUCUAGUUCUAACAGAGAGUUACUUUGCAUGAGAAAAUGUUGUUUUAUGGAGAGUAUUUAUAUAUACAUGGGGGGGAUGGGAAUGGGUGAGAGAAGGAACCUUCG